rnacentral:lncRNA from 1 species
AAAAAAGUUGUAUUGGUUUCGACCCAAGGUAAGUAAUUAAGUAGUACUAGCUAUCUAGCUACACUAGUAGAAAAUGGGUCAAAUGUGAAGCACAUUAGUGCCGGUUUGAUUUUGAGCCAGCACUAAUGUGUGCAUUAGUGUCGGUUCCAACGGCUAGUCGGCCGCUCUCAUUAGUAUCGGUUCAUGGCGAACCUUUAGCUCCGGUUCAUGCCACAAACCAGUACUAAAGUGAGUGGUGGCAAGAUGUUGUCAGUCUGGGGCCCCUCCAGCACCUUUAGUACCGGUCCGUAUCACGAACCAGUACUAAAGGUCUUCCUACAUAAACCCUUCGUCCACCCGAGCUCGCUCUGUUCUUCCCCUUUCCCCUCUCCUCUAUGUUCUUUCCCUCUUCCUCUCAAGCUCAUCACAAAUUUUGCCCAAAAUUGGUCAAGAUUUGAAGGCCCCCAUCCAUUCAAAUGAUCACAAAGGUUAGCAACUUUGUCUUUUCAUCUCCCAUUGCUAGAUUAGCUCUUGCAAUGCUUUAUAUAGUGAUUGAUUUGUGAGUUUAGUAAUUUGUGAGGAAUUAUAUAUAUAUAUAUGUGCUAGUAUUUGAUUUAUAUGCAAUUUGUGGUCAAAAAUAACACUUAGUUUGCAUAUGUAGGUGUGGUUUACUUAGUGCCUUCUAAAUCUCCGUCGUAACCACUGUCAAUCGCCCGCAACGUCCCGUCGCCGGCACCACCUUGUGGUGAGCCUCUUGUUCAUGAAUGUUUUAUAUAAAAAAUUGAUGUUUGUGUGAUUUGGAUAUAUAGUUACUCGUAUAAUUAUCUUACCCAUACGUUGUUUGUUAUACAUAGUGACAUGGUUUUGAUAUCCGCCCCCGUCGGCCCUCGUCCGGGUUAUGAUUCGGAUGUGGUAUAUUCUUUUUUAAAACUAUUUGUUGCAAUUCGUGUUUAUGACAAAUUAUGCCCAUCAAGUUGACAUAGAUAUUUGUAUGUAGGAGGUAGUUGAACCGGAAAUUCCAACCGACCCUAUUAUCCAAAGGUUAAAUUUAGUUGAAAGAGAAAACGAGGAUUUGAAGGAAAAUUGAAAAAAAUUGAGGGGGAGAAGAUGGAAUUGGAAUUGCAUGUUGCUGAUGUCGUCGAUGAUCACAAGAUUAAGAUGGAGAAAAUGCGCUUGAAGAUCAGAAAAAUUAGAAAAUAUGCCAUUCAUAGUGAGGCUUGGUAUCAUUAUGCUGUUGGAUCAAUUGUUACCUUAGUUGCGAUCUUGAUCGCAUUUGUUGUUGCAUUUAAAUUCUUUAGCUAGAGAGUUAUUUGUUUGUUGCAUUUAAGUGUUGUAUGAACUUUAUUAAUUUGGUAUUUUUCGGUGUUGUGUAAUGAAGAUGAGCCGACAAUGGAUGUACGAUGACCGAUGCUCUCCCGAGUUCAUUAAUGGCGUGCAAACUUUUCUGCUUGCGGCUGAGGCAAACAAGCGGGCGGAUGGUUUUAUGCCUUGUCCAUGUGUUGGCUGUAAGAAUGAUAACAAUUACUCUAAGUCAAGAACCAUUCACGUCCACCUGUUUAAGUUCGGUUUCAUGCCCCGCUAUAAUGUUUGGACCAAGCACGGAGAAAGAGGGGUUAUGAUGGAAGACAAUGAAGAAGAAGAGGACGACGACAGCUAUCCUGGCCAUGAUGGGUUCCCUGAAUACGAUGAUACAACAAUGGGGGAAGAAGCUGAGCCGGCAAUUCGGGAAGAAGCUGAAGAAGAGGCAUCAGAUGAGCCCGCUGAUGAUCUAGGUCGGGCCAUUGCCGAUGCAAAGAGAAACUGCGCAAGUGAUUUGGAGAAGAAGAAGUUGCAGCGCAUGUUAGAGGAUCACAAGAAAUUGUUGCGCCCGAAUUGCGAAGCUGAUAAGAAAAAGUUGGGCACCACACUGGAAUUGCUGCAAUGGAAGGCAGAGAAUGGUGUAUCUUACAAGGGAUUUGGAAAGUUGCUGGUAAUGAUAAAGAAUAUGCUUCCAAAGGACAACGAAUUGCCCGAGAGUACGUACGAAGCAAAGAAGAUUGUCUGCCCUCUAGGGUUAGAGGUGCAGAAGAUACACGCAAGCCCUAAUGACUGCAUCCUCUACCGUGAUGAGUAUGAGGAUUUGAACGCUUGCCCGGUAUGCGGUGCAUUGCGCUAUAAGAUCAGGCGCGAUGACCCUGGUGAUGUCGAGGGCGAGCGCCCCAGGAAGAGGAUUCCUGCCAAGGUGAUGUGAUAUGCUCCUACAAUACCAUGGUUGAAAUGUUUGUUCCCAAACAAAGAGCAUGUCAAGGCGAUGCGAUGGCACAGAGAAGACCGUAAGAAAGACGAAAAUUUGAGAGUACCCGUUGACGGGUCGCAGUGGAGAAAAAUCGAGAGAAAGUAUGGGAAGGAGUUUGCAGAUGACGCAAGGAACAUAUGGUUUGGUCUAAGCGCAGAUGGCAUUAAUCCUUUUGGGGAGCAGAGCAGCAACCAUAGCACCUGGCCUGUGAAUCUAUGUUUGUAUAACCUUCCUCCUUGGUUGUGCAUGAAGCGGAAGUUCAUUAUGAUGCCAGUGCUCAUCCAAGGCCCUAAGCAACCCGGCAACGACAUUGAUGUGUACCUAAGGCCAUUAGUUGAAGAACUCUUACAGCUGUGGAAUGGAACAGGUGUACGUGCGUGGGAUGAGCACAUGGGGGAAGAAUUUGACCUAAAGGCCUUGUUGUUCGUGACCAUCAAUGAUUGGCCUGCCCUCAGUAACCUUUCAGGACAGAGAAACAAGGGAUACCGCGCAUGCACGCACUGUUUGGAUGUUACCAACAUUAUAUAUUUGAAAAAUUGUAGGAAGAAUGUGUACCUGGGACAUCGUCAAUUUCUUCCGAGCAGGCAUCCCGUAAGAAAGAAAGGCAAGUGAGGGAGUCCUGGAUUAGGGCGUCUCCGGACAGCCGGACUGUUAGACUAUGAAGAUACAAGAUUGAAGACUUCGUCUCGUGUCCAGAUGGGACUCUACUUGGCAUGGAAGGCAAGCUAGGCAAUACGGAUAUGGAUAUCUCCUCCUUUGUAACCGGCCUUAUGUAACCCUAACCCUCUCCGGUGUUUAUAUAAACCGAAGGGUUUUAGUCCGUAGGACAACAAUCACAACAUACAAUCAUACCAUAGGCUAGCUUCUAGGGUUUAGCCUCUCCGAUCUCGUGGUAGAUCUACUCUUGUACUACCCAUAUCAUCAAUAUUAAUCAAGCAGGAUGUAGGGUUUUACCUCCAUCAAGAGGGCCCGAACCUGGGUAAAACAUCACGUCCCCUGCCUCCUGUUACCAUCCGUCCUAGACGCACAGUUCGGGACCCCCUACCCGAGAUCCACCGGUUUUGACACCGACAUUGGUGUUUUCAUUGAGAGUUCCUCUGUGUCGUCGCCGUUAGGCUUGAUGGCUCCUACUAUCAUCGAUAGCGAUGCGGUCCAGGGUGAGACUUUUCUCCCCGGACAGAUCUUCGUAUUCGGCGGCUUUGCACUGCGAGCUAAUUCGCUUGGACAUCUGGAGCAGAUUGAAAGCUACGCCCCUGGCCGUUAGGUCAGAUUUGGAAGUUUGAACUACACGACCGACAUCCGCGGAGACUUGAUCUUCGACAGAUUCGAGCCACAGCCAGGCACGCCGCAUUGUCACGAUGGGUAUGACCUAGCUCUGCCGCCGAAUAGUACCCCAGAGGCCGCGCCCGCAUCAGCUCCGACCCUUAGCUCGGAGCCAACUGCGCCAAUCGAGGACGGGUGGUUAGACACCACCUCAGGGGCUGCAGUCUCAAUGGCGAUCGAGCCGAACACCAGCCUAAUCCUCUGCGCAGCCCGUGCCCCCAAGGUGCCGGACUCUUUUUCUGACUCCGAACCGCCCGCGCCACUACCAAUCGAAUCCGAUUGGGCACCAAUCAUGGAAUUCACCGCCGCGGAUAUCUUUCAGCACUCGCCCUUCGGCGACAUUCUGAAUUCACUAAAGUCUCUCUCUUUGUCAGGAGAGCCCUGGCCGGAUUAUGGCCAACAGGAUUGGGAUGCGAACGACGAAGAAAUUCGAUGCCCACCCACCACCCACUUAAUAGCCACUGUCGAUGACUCAAUCGACAUGCUCGACUUCGACUCUGAAUACAUCGACGGUAUGGACGACGAUGCGGGAGGCGAAGAGGAACCACCGCCCACAGGGCGCUGGACGUCCACCUCAUCAUAUGACGUAUACAUGGUGGACACACCAAAAGAAGACGACGUCAAGGAAUGGAAGGACGCAACGAAGGCUUGUUCCCUCGAGAAGCAGUCAAAGCGGUGGCGCAAGCGCCGCCCCAAAUCACGCCUCGGUAGAAAUAACGAUCAUACAGACCUAGCGCUGGAGCAGGGCGAACCACCGCCGGACCACGGCAAUAGGGAGAAUCAAACUGAACAAACCAAUUCUGUCAAAGAUGAUAGUCCAGACGACAUAACGUUGGACAAGCACCCGGAGCAGCAGAAUGCUCGCCAAAGGCUUGUUGCCACCGCGAGGAGUCUGAAAAAGCAGAAGCAAAGGCUCAAGGCUGCGUAGGACACACUCCAAAUCAGAUGGAGUAAAGUACUCAACACAGCAGCGAAGUACGGCGGUAAUCGCCCCACCAAGAGCUACCCAAAGUAGAAGUUGCUACCUGAAUUCGAUGAGGAGGCCUCAGACCCCCCCCCCCCACAACCAAAAAUUAAAACAGCCAUCUGGCCGGAUAGACGACCUCACGGCCAACAUAAAGCAGCAAGCAACACCACACAUAAGCCAAUACGCGGUCUACGCGAGGGCUCACAUCAAAAGGAGGGCGAAACCAGAUCCAUCUAUGGACCACGCAAGCGUGCUACAGCAUAGAUGCAACACAACAAACAUCCGAACAACACGGUACACCCAGAUAUAGGGGUGCCGCACACCCCCUAUGUUUCACCGAUGAGGUGCUGGACCAUGAAUUUCCAGAGGGAUUCAAACCCGUAAACAUAGAGGCAUACGAUGGAACAACAGACCCUAGGGUCUGGAUUGAGGACUAUAUCCUCCAUAUCCACAUGGCUCGAGGAGAUGAUCUCCACGCCAUUAAGUAUUUACCCCUCAAACUCAAAGGGCCAGCUCGGCACUGGCUUAAGAGCCUCCCCAAAAGCUCCAUUGGAAGUUGGGAAGAGCUCAAAGACGCCUUUCGGGCAAAUUUUCAAGGGACUUAUGUCCGACCUCCGGACGCGGAUGAUUUGAGUCAUAUAACUCAACAGCCCGGAGAGUCAGCCCAAAAGCUUUGGAACAGGUUUUUUACUAAAAAGAACCAAAUUGUUGACUGUCUGGACGCCGAAGCAUUGGAAGCUUUUAAGCAUAGCGUCCGUGAAGAAUGGCUUGCCAGACACCCCGGCCAAGAAAAGCUGAGAACAAUGGCAGCAUUAACAAGCCUCAUGACCCGCUUUUCCGCAGGUGAGGAUAGCUGGCUAGCCAGAUGCAGCACCAGUGACCCCAGUACAUCCGAAGUUAGAGAUGGAAAUGGGAAAGCACGGCACAACAACAAUAACAAACGCCGGAAUAAAGAAGACAACACGAAGAGCACGGCAGUAAACGCCGGAUUCAAAAGCUCUCGGCCAGGUCAGCAAAAGCCGCCCUCUAAAGGCGUCAGAGACGAAUUGUCCAGCCUAAACAAAAUUCUGGACCAAAUAUGUCAGAUCCAUAGCACCCCUGGUAAACCCGCUAAUCAUACCCACAGAGAAUGUUGGGUCUUCAAGCAGUCCGGCAAGCUCAACGCCGUACACAAGGGGGAGGAUACACCAAGCGAAGACGAGGAUGAGCCUCUCAAGCAAGACACUGGGGAACAAAAGUAAUUUCCACCAGAAGUCAAAACAGUAAACGUGUUACACGUGAUCAAGGGAAGAAACAAAAUGGCACUCCCAAAAAAAUAUGCCCAAGGGCCUAUUACCGCGGAGUCCUGCCACUGGACGUCUCAACCGAUCACUUUCGACCAUCGUGAUUACUCAGCAGGUAUCCGGCGUGCAGGAUGGGCUGCCCUGGUAUUAGACCCAAUAAUUGACGAUACCACCUCACACGAGUCCUGAUGGACGGUGGCAGCAGUCUAAACCUGAUAUACCAGGAUACAAUCCGCGAAAUGGGGAUAGACCCAACGAAAAUUUGCCAUAGCAAUACUACCUUUAAAGGAGUAACGCCAGGCCCAGGGGCUCAUUGCACGGGCUCCCUGCUACUAAAGGUUAUAUUCGGCUUCCCCGAUAACUUCCGUAGUGAACAUUUAACCUUCCACAUCGCUCCCUUCCAAAGUGGCUAUCAAGCACUACUCGGACGCGAAGCUUCCGCUCGCUUUAACGCAAUACCGCACUACGCUUCCCUCACACUCAAGAUGCCCGGCCCACGUGGCAUCAUUACAGUGAACGGAAGUAUGAAGCGAUAUUUGCGCGCCAAAGAGAGUGCGGCUGCCUUGGCAGCCGCACACUAAAAAUGGCCUCACCAACUAAAGCAUUUAACAGGUCAUCAAGACCACGGACAUGGUUAGACGAGUCCGGCGCAGCUAUAUGUAAUUCAUACCGGUCACACCCCUAUUAGAAUUACAAGGGGCUAAACGCGCGCAAACAAGUGGCAAUUUUUACUCAUCUUGAAUUAUACGUGGUUUCUUUGAAAACUAUCUCUCUGCACGACAACUUUUUCACCUAAAAUCCUCUCUUUUACAGAUGACCGUCAUGCUACACCCGUCCAGGAUACGGCACAACGGAGACACAGGCGCAGACGUGCAGCAGGGACCCGUUUCAAGGAUUCUUUUUAGAUUAAGACCCUGCGUAAACCUUUUUUACUGUCUCUUGUUGAUACACAUCCACCGAACUCUCAGCACAAUUGAGAAGGAUGCUGACGUCUUGGCAUGUGGCCACAUCAGAACAAUGCACGUACCUGGACACAAGGGGCUUCUUACAAAGGGCACUAUUUAGGCCCGGUUUAUACCAUAAAGACCGAAUACCUUAGGGAGUGUUCGGCGUCGCGAGUUUGGCCUUAUAUGCAUCAGCUCCGAAUCAUUGUCUUUGGUCAAAUGUUGGGUUUGCCCGGCUCCUGUGUUUUGGUGCCUUACGUUCCGCUUUAUCGGCUAAGGUAGCACCAGGAGAACUACUGCGAUUGUGCCCUGGUUCAUCCGGACGAGCACCUCAGUAGAGAAAACCGAAAACUGACUGUCAUGAUAUAGCGUGAGACUGGUCAACCACUCGAUGACCUAUCGGAAUGUUAGAAUUCCUCCGCCUUAACGAAGGGCCGUUUUCCGGCCAGGCAUGUACGCACCCCAAGAUCGGGAGAGUGCGGAGCCACCAGGGGCUAUCUAGUAGCCCCACUGUCAAACUCCUAUGGCUAAGUGAAAGUGUUAAAGCAUUAUAGUCCGGUUGCCUCGUUCGCUACGCUAUCACCUCCUUAAUAGGACCAAGACGUUGGGUUAAGUGUGAACAUGCGUUUUUCGCGAGCACCUCCGCAUUAUAUGCGUGGGGGUUGAAGCCGACGGCUGCAAUCUUUCAGGUUAUACACAUGUAUACAUAAACGGCCGCACAGGAGGCAUCAUACUACUUUCAGGCAAAAGUAUAAACAUAGCCAUAUAAAAUUUCAUAAAAGCAUUGUGCUUACAAUGAGAAUACAUAUCACUCAAACAUAAUAUUCUUCGAGCACUGGGCCUCUAUCAAACGAGCACCCUCGAGAUACUCCUCGAAAUAGUGCUCGGCAGCCACUCGGCCUAUGGCCGAACCCUGCGCCACAACAGUGGUAGCGUCCAUCUCCGCCCAGUAUGCUUUAACACGGCCAAGGGCCAUCCGCGAGCCUUCUAUGCACGCCGACCUCUUCAUCACACUAAUGCACGGCACUGCACCAAGGAACCGCUGCACUAAGCUGAAAUAGUUGUUCGGCUUUGGCUUUUCCGCCCAUAGCUGAUCCACAACAGACCUCAUGGCGAGUCCGGACAACCUAUUCAGCUCGGCCCAUUCGGCUAGCUGGUUAGUCAAUGAAAGUGGACGCUCUAGAACGUUGAAUUGCGACCAGAACAGCUUGUCCACUUCACGAUCUGUUUGACCUUGGAAGUACUUGGCCGCAUCGGCAGCGCUCGCCGCCAAAUCCAUAUACGCAUCUGCCGAACUCCACAGCGAUCCAGAGGGGCAUACCGUGGAUCUCCGGACUUCCUCUGUAACAUGAAGGGCUUCCCAGCCGCAAUAUCCCCGGCUUCCCGCAACUCCUCCUUCUUCGCUCUCAUAACAGAAUGGGUGUCUUUGUCCGCCAUCGUGGCCUUCUCAAGGUCCGUUGGCUUCGCUCGGUUUUCUUUUUCAAGGACCCGGCAACGGUCGGCAGUGUCUUUUAAUUCUACGGCCAACUUGGCCAUCUUCUCUUGGCUCUCGCUGUCGGAGUAAAUAGCCAUGGGUAGCCUAGCCGGCUUCCCCUCGCCCUUCUAAAAAAAUUACGAGCCCGUCCGGCUCUCGAGAAUCCAAGACAUGGGGCCGCCUUCCCCUUGCUGGCUGUCACCCAGGCCGGCUUUCGGAAGGCGGCCCGACUUUAGCCCUCAUGAAGAAAGCCAUGGGAGGGCUGACUUCGAGAAACCGGCCGCGAGGAGGCCGACUCCGAGAAGCCGGCUCCCAUAAAGCGGUCGAGACCGUACCCUCAAAGUUUGCAUCCACCUAGCGGCGAUGAGACGGGGCGUGGCUACAGUAAAGCCUGCCACCCCCGAAUCCCGGAGCACGCCUGGCACAGUGCGCCGUACGGAGUGGGCAUGACCCGUCCGGCGCGGCACUGUUGCCAUGUUGACCCUGAUGUCACCCACGACGGGCCGCCAGCGCGGCCCACGGGCGGUGGGCCCCUUCAGGCAGAGAGAUUCCCGAAGGCGGCCAGGCCUCCCCCAGUCGGCCCGAGACGGAGCCGGGCUCCCUGCAGCCGGCUCGCUUCCCCCUCGAAGGAGACGCCCCAUUAAGGAGACAACACGCGGUAAGGCUAUAGCGAUCACCCGCCGGACGGCGGCACUAUAGCCACGCUUACCUCGACGAAGCCCUCGUCAUCAGGUUGAGGCAACAGUAAUCGGUCAUCGACAAGACCCUUGGCAGUGGGGCCUGCCUGUUGCCAAGGAGUUGGCAGCCGGCGGGACCCACCAGCCGGCGGGACCCACUAGCCGGCGGGCCCCAGCAGUCGGCGCAGAAGCCGGUGAGCGUAGUCACAGAUGGCUGGGCCCCGCGCCCAGUCGGAUUACCAUUGUACCCCCGGGGGGUAGGCCUAUAUAAACCCCCCGGGACACCCAUGCAAAGGGUUGGACCCCCAGCUAGUUUUAGACACCACACAAGGAGAAGAAGCAAGCUAGCCGUGCCCUUCUUCCUCCUCCCACCGAACAGCUCAAGGAGCAUUGUGUAGCUACUUGUCCAUCUAGCGAUCAUGCGGAGACCCCGCAGAGAGGCAGUAGGGGUGUUAUCUCCACGGAGAGCCCCGAAGCUGGGUAAGAUUCGCCAGCGUGCAUGUCUUCGCCUUAUCCCGUUUCCAGGCACCGGCGACGUCUUACUGGCUCCCACAAUGAUAAGCCACCCAUUGGCAUAUGUCGCACCUACCACCCGACAUUUGGCGCCCACCAUGGGGCCAGGUGCACCGUCGUCCGGAGACCUAUUCUGGACGGGAACCCUCUUCCUCCCCAGCGAGCGUAGCCAGCCCGGCACGCCCGAUGGCGCUUGCCACGACGCGCUGCAAGGCGUCACCAGCAUCUGCGCGGCGAGCAGCCUCGCCAAUCUCCUCGACGAGACCCUCAUCUCCGACGAGCUCGCCUCCAAUGCGGGCACCGACCACCUCGCCAACCUCCUCGGCCAGCUCCAUGUCUCCAGCGAGCCCGCUGUGGAUCUGGAGUCGGUUGGCCCCAUCGAUCCGAUGCCUGUCGACUCCAACACGGCCUCGUUCGGCACCUUCCCCACCAACGUCACAAUCUACAACGACCCGCUUCCCCGAGCCGAUGGCUGCGACGCUGUCACCACUGAGGUGAUGGUCAUCGGCCACGACGGCGCUGCUAACGAGAGGGCCCACGACGCCCCACACGCGGCGGUCCACGACUUGUCCAUCCCCCUUCCGGCCGACGCCGACGCUGAAGCACUGGAGGCUCGCCGCCUCGCCCUCCUCGCGGAAGGCCGGAAAUUGGUUUCCAUGAGACACCUCACUAAGGCCCACCGACACGAGGCCGACCGCGCCGCCUUUGGCACGCCGCCCCCAGGCGGGCCCAGCCGGGUCAGCGUUGUCAGAUAGCGCGGCACUGUCAUUGCCGACACGUUAGGAGUCGAUCGCCCAGUCUACGCCACUCCACUCAAGAACCUGCGCGCCGCCCAGGCGGCCGUAGACGAGCUAGACGGACUGGGGGCCGAAGAACUCCCCCACAUGACCCGACGCAUCCAGCAGCUAAUCGAUGCAGCCGCACGGCGGCACGAAGCCAACGCCCGCGCGGGAAGCCCUCCCCCGCGCCGAGAUCACGACGCGACAUCCCGGACGCCGACUGCGGGCAGAGAGCGCGCGCGGCGCGAGAAAGAGCCAGCUGCCAGCCGAAGCCAAACCCGGAUCUCCAUCGAGCGAGACGCGGACGGCCAUCCCCGAGCCAUGGAAUGGCGGGGUAACCCGCCUCCGCCUCGACCCCGUGGAGAGAGAUAUCCCACCCUGCCGCCAGUGGCGCACCCGACUCUCAGCGGCCGACUAGGUCGCCGCGAAGGAGUCGGCGAGAAUGACGCCCGCCGUCGGAUCGACUGCCUGGCGCGAUCCCUGGCGCUGGAAGAAGAAGACGAUGUCGGCCCGCCUUGUUUCGGCCCCCGCAUCCGCGAUGAGCCUUUCCCCAAAGGAUUCUCGCUCCCAAGAGACACGCCCAAGUACAAUGGCUCCGUGAAGCCGGAAGAUUGGUUGAUCGACUACUCCACGGCGGUCAGCAUAGCCAACGGCAACCGGCGCGUUGCCAUGAAGUGCGUGCCCCUCAUGCUGCAAGGCACGGCGCGGACCUGGCUCAACAGCCUCAAACCACGCAGCAUCAACAGUUGGCUAGACUUCACAGAAGCCUUCGUCCGCAACUUCACCACCACCUACAAGCGGGCUCCCAAGCCCAGACAGCUCUCCUUGUGCGUAUAAGGCCCCGCCGAGUCAACUCACGACUACCUCACGCGUUGGGCCGAGCUCCGCAACUCUUGCGAAGGGGUGCACGAGGUGCAAGCCAUAGAAUACUUCACAGCCGGGUGCCGAGAAGGCACCCUCCUCAAGCACAAGCUUCUCUGCGACGAGCCGACUACCCUCGACGAGCUUCUGGACAUAGCGGACAAGUACGCCACCAUCGACUCCUCAAUGAAGACCGAGCUCCGGGUAGACGCGUCCGAAAAAGUACUCAACACGCGCCCAAGACGCCGGCUGGGGAUUCCGGCCGACGCCCACACUCGAACGACCACAAGCGCAAGGGCCCCGCACUGCCUCCCGCCAGUCGGCAGGUGGCCACAGUUGAAGACGUGCCGCCCGAAGGGCGGCCCGCGCCCAAGAAACCCAAGGGCGGCAGGCCGGCUUGGCAGCCGGCCUUCUCCUACGAGCAAACUCUCGACGCCCCGUGCAAGUUCCACAGCGGCGCGAAGCCGUCCAACCACACAACCCGGAAGUGCCAUUGGCUCACCCGAAUCUCCAAAGGCGAAGGGCUCGCGCCGCCUCCGGUUCCGCCGGCGCCGGCCGCUCGGCCCACAGUCGGAGCCGUGCAUGAUGAGUUCCCCGAUGAGCAUGCCGCCUAUAUCAUCUUUACAAGCCAGUCCGAAGACUGGCACAGCAAACGCCGAGAGAACCAGGAAGUCAGCAUGGUUGCUGCCAACCCCGCCGAGCACAUGCACUGGUCAGAAAAGCCUAUCAGCUGGAGCCGGGCCGACCAUCCAGAGGUGAUGCCGUCUCCCGGCUCUUAUGCGUUGGUCCUGGAAGCCACCCUCGCGACGGACAGACGCGCUGCCCGCUUCUCCCGCGUGCUGAUAGACGGCGGGAGCAGCAUCAGCAUCCUGUACCGUGACACCCUGGAGAAGCUAAAUGUCAAGACGAAGCAGCUCAUGCCUACUCGGACAGUGUUCCAUGGCAUCGUACCCGGCCUGUCCUGCGCCCACAUUGGCAAGAUCAAGAUUGAUGUACUUUUUGGGGACAAGGAGCAUUUCCGCCGGGAAGCGAUCUGGUUUGAAGUGGUGGACCUGGAGAGCCCUUACCAUGCAUUGCUUGGCCGACCUGCCUUGGCCAAAUUCAUGGCAGUCCCCCACUAUGCAUACCUCAAGAUGAAGAUACCAAGCACCAAAGGCGUCAUCACCAUAGCCGGCGAUUACAAGAAGUCCUCUGAGUGCGCAGCAGCCAGCAGCCGGCUGGUCGAGUCCCUCGUGAUUGCCGAAGAAAAGAAGAUGUUGGACCGAGUCGUGGCCAUAGCCGGCAAGCAAUCGGCCAUGUCCCCCGAUCCCAAGGAGCAUGAUGCUCAAGGAUCUUUCCAGCCGGCCAAGGAGACGAAGAAGAUACCUCUUGACCCCGAGCACCCAGAGAGGUUUGCCGUCAUCGGGGCAAACCUGAACAGCAAAUAGGAAGGCGAGCUCGCCGAUUUCCUCCGUGAGAAUCGGGACAUCUUUGCAUGGUCCCCCAAGGACAUGCCGGGUGUUUCAAAGGAAUUCUCCGAGCACAAACUACACGUCCGAAAAGAUGCGAAACCAGUCAAACAGCCCCUCCGCCGACUAUCAGAGGAAAAGAGAAGGAUUGUAGGGGAGGAGAUAGCCCGGCUUCUGGCAGCCGGCUUCAUUAUGGAAGUCUUCUUUCCAGAGUGGCUUGCCAACCCGGUCCUCGUGUUAAAGAAGAACAACAAGUGGCGCAUGUGUAUAGACUACACAAGCCUCAACAAGGCCUGCCCUAAAGAUCCCUUUGCCCUGCCGAGGAUUGACCAAGUGAUAGACUCCACGGCCGGAUGCGAGCUGUUGAGUUUCUUGGAUGCUUACUCAGGAUAUCACCAGAUAAAGCUAGAUCCGGACGACCGCCUGAAGACCGCCUUCAUCACGCCAUUUGGAGCCUUCUACUACCUGACUAUGACAUUCGGCUUAAGAAAUGUUGGUGCCACUUUUCAGUGUUGCAUGCAGAAGUGCCUCCUCAAGCAACUCGGCAGAAACGCUCACGUCUACGUGGACGACAUUGUGGUGAAGACGGAGAAGCACGGCGCCUUGCUGGAAGACCUCAAAGAAACGUUUGAGAACCUACGCCGGUUCCAAAUCAAGAUCAACCUCGAGAAAUGCGUGUUGGGAGUGCCAGCCGGCCAGCUCCUAGGCUUCCUGGUCUCCGAACACGGCAUCGAAUGCAACCCGGUGAAGAUCAAGGCCAUCGAGAGAAUGGCGAUCCCCACCAAGCUUCGAGACAUCCAAAAGUUCAUCGGAUGCUUGGCCUCCUUGAACCGCUUCAUCAGCCGACUCGGAGAGAAAGCUCUCCCCCUCUACCGCCUCAUGAAGAAGAGCACUCACUUCGAGUGGAAUGACCAGGCCGACCAAGAUUUUCACAAGCUGAAGAAGAUGCUGGCCACGCCGCCCUUCCUAGCGGCGCCGACUGAGAAAGAGCCCAUGCUCCUUUACAUUGCCGCAACCAGCCGGGUGGUCAGCACCGUCAUCAUAGUCCAACGCCCAGAAGAAGGCCGAGCCCAGCCGGUCCAGAGGCCGGUGUAUUAUUUGAGCGAGGUGCUGUCCGCUUCAAAGCAGAACUACCCGCACUACCAGAAGAUGUGUUACGGCGUGUACUUCACCGCCAAGAAGCUGAAGCCCUACUUUCAAGAGCAUCCCGUCACGGUCGUAUGCACUGCCCCGCUGGCCAAGAUCAUAGGCAGCCGGGAUGCAUCCGACCGGGUGGCGAAAUGGGCCAUCGAGCUGGCCCCUUACACAAACUUCUACCAGCCCCGCACCGCCAUCAAGUCCCAAGCACUGGCCGACUUCCUCGUCGAUUGGGCCGAGACCCAGUACCUGCCGCCGGCUCCCGACUCCACCCAUUGGCGCAUGCACUUUGACGGGUCCAAGAUGCGCACCGGCUUGGGAGCCGGCGUCGUCCUUACCUCUCCCAAAGGCGACAAGCUCAGAUACACGAUGCAGAUUCACUUUGCCGCCUCCAACAAUGUAGCCGAGUAUGAGGCACUCAUACACGGGCUCCGGCUUGCCAAGGAACUCGGCAUCCGCCGGAUCCUAUGUUAUGGCGACUCAGACUUGGUGGUUCAGCAAUCAUCCGGCGACUGGGACGCCAAGGACGCAAAUAUGGCAAGCUACCGCUUCCUGGUUCAACAACUCAGCGGAUACUUUGAAGCAUGCGAGUUCCUCCACGUACCGCGAGCCGACAACGAGCCAGCCGAUGCCCUGGCUCGAAUAGGCUCCACUCAGCAAGCAAUACCAACCGGCGUCGCUCUACAACGCCUCCUCAAGCCGUCCAUCAAGCCGUCUCCAGAGUCCGAUUCCAUCUUCGUACCGCCUGACCCCGACGCGGCCGGGUCCGGCUCGAAGAACCAAGCAGGCGACCCCGGGACUUCAGUAGUCGGCCCGGGGACUUCGGCAACCGGCUCGGGGACUGCCACACCCGGCUCGGGGACUGUAGUAGCCGGCCCGGGGACUGCACCAACACAACAGCCGGCGGCUGACUCCAGCAUUUCACCACCCAGCCCGCCCACCCUGGUGGCAGUAGCCACAUUGGCAGUAGGAGAAGUCGCGGCUCCGUCAUGGGCUCAGUCCAUCCUCAACUUCCUAGUAAACCAAGAUCUGCCGACUGAUGAAACAGAGGCAAGACAAGUCCAACGUAGAGCCGGAGCAUACACAAUCGUCAACAGAGAACUCGUCAAGCGCAGUGUCACUGGAGUCCUCCAACGGUGCGUCCAGCAAGAGAAAGGCAUUGCAAUCCUCAGAGACAUUCACCAAGGAGAAUGCGGCCACCAUGCGGCUUCAAGAUCACUCGUCGCCAAAGCUUUCCGCCAUGGUUUCUUCUAGCCGACUGCUUUGGAUGACGCUAAAGAAUUAGUUAAAUAUUGCAAAGGGUGCCAACUCUUCAGCUCCAAGCAACACAUGCCGGCUUCGACACUCAAGACCAUUCCCCUCACCUGGCCCUUCGCCAUUUGGGGACUAGACAUGGUGGGCCCAUUCAAGACGGCGCGCGGCGGCAUGACGCAUUUGCUCGUCGCCGUGGACAAAUUCACCAAGUGGAUUGAGGCAAAGCCGAUCAAGAAGCUGAAUGGACCGACUGCUGUGACAUUCAUCGCAGACAUAACAACUCGGUACGGCGUGCCACACAGCAUCAUCACCGACAAUGGCACGAAUUUUGCCAAAGGAGCCUUGGCACGUUUCUGCGCAACACAAGGUAUCCGUUGGACUUAGCGUCCGUCGCCCACCCGCAGUCAAACGGCCAGGUCGAGCGAGCCAACGGCCUCAUCCUCUCCGGCAUCAAGCCCCGACUGGUCGUACCACUGGAGCGUUCAGCCGGCUGUUGGCUCGAUGAGCUGCCGGCUGUCCUCUGGAGUCUGCGCACUACCCCAAACAAGUCAACCGGCUUCACCCCUUUCUUCCUCAUGUGUGGUGCCGAGGUGGUCAUCCCAACUGACAUCGAGUUCGACUCGCCCCGGGUAACCAUGUACACAGAGGCGGAGGCCAAGGAAGCACGAGAAGACGGUGUCGACCUGUUGGAAGAAGGCCGGCUGUUAGCCCUCAGCCGGUCUGCCAUCUACCAGCAGGGUUUGCGCCGCUACCACAGUCAGAAGGUCAGGCCAAGAUCUUUCCAAGAGGGCGAUCUUGUGCUCCGGCUGAUCCAGCAAACAGCCAGCCAACACAAGCUCUCGGCCCCUUGGGAGGGCCCCUUCGUCAUCAGCAGAGCUUUAGGCAACGACUCCUACUACCUGAUCGACGCGCAGAAGCCGAAGGCACACAAGAGAGACGACUCCGGCAAGGAGUCGGAACGACCAUGGAAUGCCAACCUCCUUCGAAGAUUUUACAGUUGAAAUGCAGUAUGUAUCACGCUAACUUUUGUACUAAAUACGAGACAAUAGGCCCCCCUAGGAGGGCUCGGGGACUGCCAUCUUUUAUCUAUGAAUGAAAAGUAUCAUGCUUAUGACCUUGUCAUUUCAUUUACUUGUUCCGUCCGGCACCGGGUUCGACUAGUCAGCCUGGGGACUGGCCGACUGGAGUUAUAUUAGAAGUCCUACCCGCGGUCAGACAAGUAGUGUGCCGACACCCAGGCUUAGCUCUUGCCAAAGUCGCAGUUCGAAGAACCGGCUGUCCGGCUGGCAAGAGUCAAAAGUAGGAAAGGAUGCCCACACGAAAAAUGGCCAGGGACCAACGGACUAAUAUAACGGAAGCCGGUUUGCCGCCUACCACCGAUCGACUACCAGAGUAGCCGGCCGGCCAGUUUCCAUUCACUUCACUUCAAUCCAAGAAAGCUCGAGUACUUGCCUCCCCAAAGAGGGAAGGCAGCAAAGGAAAAAGCCUAAGGAUAAAAAGCAUAUGCGAAUGGAAACCAAAUAUGCACAUAAUGAUAUUUACAUAAAAGACCUCCAAGAGGCCAGCAUUCAACAUAGUUUGGAUACACCCCCAGUGGGUGGAACUGCGAAAGCUUAAUAAAGAUUGUUCAAAAGGCAACAAGCAGGAAAAAUAAGGACGGCGGGUCAAGCUGGCGGAGCGACCGAUGAGCCGGGCUGGUCGGCGGAGACGGUUGUGCCGGCUGAAGGAGUGGCCGGCUGGCGAACCUCGGCUUGAUCACCACCUCCCGCAGAGGGCGUGCUUCCACGCACCUUGUUGCUGGAGGCACGGUCAGCCUGAGGCCGGCCGGUUGUUCCACUAGCCGGCUCGACGUCUUCACCGUCCUCUUCUUCGUCAUCCUCGCCCUUGUCGCUGGAGGCGAUCUCCUCUGCCGAGUCCUCGCCCACCGCCGGGUUCAGCCCGAACCACUCCUCCGGCUGGGCAACGCCGUCAUCAUUGAUUUCAGGUGCAAAAACACUGAAGUCGGUGCACUCGGCGAUCGUCGAAGCACGCUGGGCGAUAGCCGGCCGCACCUCCUCCAGCUCCGCGUCGGCCUCCAGCCGCCAAGUGCGCAGUUGGUCCAGGUUCAUCCCUGGGUACCAAGCUCGAACGAACUCCAAUGCCCGCCCGGCUCCAAGACGGGCCGCCGAUGCCUUCCAAGCUUCAAAGCGACCGACCGCGACCUCCAGCCAGUCGGCAGUCCGGCUUGGGGUGCGGGGGAUCGUCUCGCCGGGUCAGAGGGCGGCCAACACCUGCGCCCCGGCACGUUGGAGCCGGCGAAGCAUCCGGUUAGCCGGCUGCAGCCGCGCUUGGACAGCCAAGAGCUGCUCCUCAAGCGUCUGAUUCGCGUCCGGCACGAUGUUGACCCCCGCCUGACGGCGCGCCUCGCGAUGGGCCUCGAUGGUUUGGGCGGCGAAGGCGGAGUAGCCGGGAAAGUAGUCUGCACAAGAAAAUAGGCAGCAGCACAAGUCAGGCCAAAAACCAGGCGGCAAGGGGCAGGAGAGGAGCGAGGAAGGUGGCUUACCAUCGAUCAAGUCCUCGAUGCGGCCGAAGCCUUCAUCCAGCGCUCGCCGGGUCUCAGCCCAGCUCGCCGCCUCGGUCUCAAACUCUGCCUUCAGGGCGGCCUCGCUAUCCUACGCUUUCUGCAGGGCCGCCUUGUGGCUCUCCUCCUGGUCAGCCAACUUCUUGGCCAGGCGGUCAUGCUCCUGGACCAAGGCAGCGUACUCAGCAUCCUUGGUACGAAGGGCGGCCUGUGCUUCGCCGAGCUCCCUCCUCAAGUCGGCGUUGGCCCCUGAAAGCACGAAAGACGAAAGAAAAAACCAAUAAGGAAAAAGUCGUCAAGGAAGAUCCGACCCGACUGCUCAGCAGUCGGCCCGAAUCUCGGGGACUACACCCAGUGGGUGCGCUGAUGCGCCCCCACAGGAGAUAGACAAGAUCAAGCACUUACUUCGGCUGUUGGCCAGGUCGUCGGUCUUCCGACCCAACUCCUGAGCCUGGGAGUUGAAAGCGGCAGCACGGGAGUUAUGAUAUUCCUGGAAGUUCAGACCGGAAGCAAAAAUAAGGUAGUCAUCAAGAAAGAUCCGACCCGACUACUCAGCAGUCGGCCCGAAUCUCGGGGACUACACCCAGUGGGUGCGCUGACGCGCCCCCACGGAAGAAAUCAAGAGACCAAAGCGGCCAAGAAUGAAAGACUCACCUGGAUGGCGGCCUGCGUCGACAGGAACUCCUGGGUGUACUGCUGCAGCAGGGCGGCCUGAGCUUGAAGCCGGCUCUUCAGGGUAGGAAGCUGACCUAGCUUCUCGUCCCUUUGUCCACCUCAAAGCUCGAUCAGCUUCGGGGACUACUGUCGGAGUAAAUAGCCAUGGGUAGCCUAGCCGGCUUCCCUUGGCCCUUCUGAAAAAAUUACGAGCCCGUCCGGCUCUCGAGAAUCCAAGACAUGGGGCCGCCUUCCCCUCGCUGGCUGUCACCCAGGCCGGCUUUCGGAAGGCGGCCCGACUUUAGCCCUCAUGAAGAAAGCCAUGGGAGGGCCGACUUCGAGAAACCGGCCGCGAGGAGGCCGACUCCGAGAAGCCGGCUCCCAUAAAGCGGUCGAGACCGUAUCCUCAAAGUUUGCAUCCACCUAGCGGCGAUGAGACGGGGCGUGGCUACAGUAAAGCCUACCACCCCCGAAUCCCGGAGCACGCCUGGCACAGUGCACCGUACGGAGUGGGCAUGACCCGUCCGGCGCGGCACUGUUGCCAUGUUGACCCUGAUGUCACCCACGACGGGCCGCCAGCGCGGCCCAGAGCGGUGGGCCCCUUCGGGCAGAGAGACGCCCGAAGGCGGCCAGGCCUCCCCCAGUCGGCCCGAGACGGGGCCGGCUCCCCGCAGCCGGCUCGCUUCCCCCUCGAAGGAGACGCCCCAUUAAGGAGACAAGACGCGGUAAGGCUACAGCGAUCGCCCGCCGGACGGCGGCACUGUAUCCACGCUUACCUCGACGAAGCCCUCGUCAUCAGGUUGAGGCAACAGUAACCGGCCACCGACAAGACCCUUGGCAGUGGGGCCUGCCUGUUGCCAAGGAGUUGGCAGCCGGCGGGACCCACCAGCCGGCGGGCCCCAGCAGUCGGCGCAGAAGCCGGCGAGCGUAGUCACAGACGGCUGGGCCCCGCGCCCAGUCGGAUUACCAUUGUACCCCUGGGGGGUAGGACUAUAUAAACCCCCCGGGACACCCAUGCAAAGGGUUGGACCCCCAGCUAGUUUUAGACACCACACAAGGAGAAGAAGCAAGCUAGCCGUGCCCUUCUUCCUCCUCCCACCGAACAGCUCAAGGAGCAUUGUGUAGCUACUUGUCCAUCUACCGAUCAUGCGGAGACCCCGCAAAGCGGCAGUAGGGGUGUUAUCUCCACGGAGAGCCCCGAAGCUGGGUAAGAUUCGCCGGCGUGCAUGUCUUCGCCUCAUCCCGUUUCCAGGCACCGGCGACGUCUUACUGGCUCCCACAAUGAUAAGCCACCCGUUGGCAUAUGUCGCACCUACCACCCGACACUCGCAAUGUGCGGCCUUCUCGGCUUUCAACUCUUCGGCCGCCUUCAAAGCAGCCGCAUUACUAAUCCUCGCUUGUUCCUUGGCUCGGGCAAGUUCUGCCCGCAAGGUUUCCACGGUGGCAGCUCCAUCUGCAGUCACAACAUAUUAAAGAUACUGGCAUCAUGAUGCUCUUACUAUGUGGCAUUCACCAGAUAAUAACACUUACCCUGUGCCUCGUCAAGCCUCUUGUUAACAAGCUCGAUGUCGGCGUCUGCCGCAUCCAGUUGUCGUUUUAAUUUGGCAAACUCACUAGUCCGGCUAGCCACUGGAGCUUCCACCACCUGCACAUAGAGGCAGUCUGGUUAUUGCCUGGGACUAUGAUCCUCUGUUCGUCGCCGUUCUCGACGACAACCAGAGUCUCAGGGGCUACUAUCUACACAGGGCACACCUAACAUGUGCAGUACUAUCACAUAUUAUCUCACGUACCUCAAAGCCUGUCAGUAGACUCAUAAAGGCUUCAUGUAAUCCGCUUUCGGCGGACGAAAUUCUCUCCAUCACGGUACCCAUCAGCGUACGGUGUUCUUCUGAGAUGGCCGCUCGCCCCACCAGCUCCCUCAGAAUGUCCGACCGCAUACCAGACGGUGUCGGACUCUUUUGUUUGCUCUCUUCGGGAGCCGGACACUGGGGACUUUGGGGGUCUAUGGGAUUAUCUUCUGGCCUCACCGGAUCCGGAGAGGCCCUCCGUGACGACACUUCGGGGUCGCCCGCUUCUUGAAGGGAGGAGUCCGGGGGAGGCGUUUCGCUCUCCAUCAUCUCUGGAAGAAGAUCCCCCGAAGACGAGCUCAGCUGAGAGGGGCUAAGGCCCGAACUGCAAGAUAUAUGCGGUGGUUAUUUUCUCAGAAAAAAGAUAGCAUACCUCUACUAUUAAAGUAUUUNNNNNNNNNNNNNNNNNNNNNNNNNNNNNNNNNNNNNNNNNNNNNNNNNNNNNNNNNNNNNNNNNNNNNNNNNNNNNNNNNNNNNNNNNNNNNNNNNNNNNNNNNNNNNNNNNNNNNNNNNNNNNNNNNNNNNNNNNNNNNNNNNNNNNNNNNNNNNNNNNNNNNNNNNNNNNNNNNNNNNNNNNNNNNNNNNNNNNNNNNNNNNNNNNNNNNNNNNNNNNNNNNNNNNNNNNNNNNNNNNNNNNNNNNNNNNNNNNNNNNNNNNNNNNNNNNNNNNNNNNNNNNNNNNNNNNNNNNNNNNNNNNNNNNNUGGAACUGGCAGCGAUUGGGGCUCGCGUCCGCCCGUAUUAUCCGCCCCCCCCCCCAACGUAUCUUCCUUCGAGGGCUCCGGGCAAGGUGCGACCUCGAGCAUCUUUUCCAAUACCGGAUUUUCCAAACCCUCGGGGAGGGGGGCCAAACACCGAAUCAUCUUCGCCUUUGUUAGCCAGUCCUGGUCAAAAGCGAACUCUUAGAAAUAACUUCAUAAAAGACAAUGUGUUCGGCCAGAGGAUUUCUUACUUGUUCGGCGGUGCGGUUACUGCUCAGGCCCACGUCCUCGGUAAUAUCCGGGCACUCUACUUGAGGUCCGAAGAAUGACUUGUACAUCUCCUCAUGCGUCAGGCCGAGGAAACUUUGAAUGGCACGCGGUCCCUCUGGGUUGAGCUCCCACAAGCGAAGGGGCCGGCGUUUGCAAGGCUGGACUUGACGAACCAGCAUAACUUGUAUUACCACAACCAAAUUAAAAUCUCCCUCGAAGAGAUCUCGAAUGCGGCUUUGCAGUAUAGGCACGUCCUUGGAUGGACCCCAGCUUAGACCCCUGCUAAUCCAUGACAUCAGUUGUGGUGGGGGGCCUGAGCGGAAAGUGGGGGCAACCGCCCACUUGGCACUUCUGGGAGCCGUGACGUAAAACCACUCUCGUUGCCAUAAUUCGGACACCUUUGGAAAGGAAUCUUUCGGCCAUGGAGCUCCUGCCAUCUUGCCUAUUGAUGCACCUCCGCAUGAUGCAUGUUGCCCCUCGAUCAUUGAGGGAGUCCUGGAUCAGGGGGUGUCCGGAUGGCCGGACUAUACCUUCAGUCGGACUCCUGGACUAUGAAGAUACAAGAUUGGAGACUUCGUCCCGUGUCCGGAAGGGACUUUCCUUGGCGUGGAAGGCAAGCUUGGUGAUACGGAUAUGCAGAUCUCCUACCAUUGUAACCGAGUUUAUGUAACCCUAACCCUCUCCGGUGUCUAUAUAAACAGGAGGGUUUUAGUCCGUAGGACGACAUACCCAACAACAAUCAUACCAUAGGCUAGCUUCUAUGGUUUAGCCUCUCCGAUCUCGUGGUAGAUCUACUCUUGUACUACCCAUUUCAUCAAUAUCAAUCAAGCAGGACGUAGGGUUUUACCUCCAUCGAGAGGGCUCGAACCUGGGUAAAACUUCGUGUCCCUUGCCUCCUGUUACCAUCCGGCCUAGACGCACAGUUCGGGACCCCCUACCCGAGAUCCGCCGGUUUUGACACCGACAUUGGUGCUUUCAUUGAGAGUUCCUCUGUAUCGUCGCCGUCAGGCUUGAUGGCUCCUAGGAUCAUCGAUAGUGAUGCGGUCCAGGGUGAAACUUGUCUCCCGGGACAGAUCUCUAUCUUCGGCGGCUUUGCACUGCGGGCCAAUUCACUUGGCCAUCUGGAGCAGAUCGAAAGCUAUGCCCCUGGCCGUCAGGUCAGAUUUGGAAGUUUAAACUGCACGGCUGACAUCCGCGGGGACUUGAUCUUCAACGGAUUCGAGCCACUGCCGAGCGUGCCGCACUGCCACGACGAGCAUGAUCUAGCUCUGCCGCCUAACAGUGCCCUGAAGGCCGCACAUGCAUCGGCUUCGACCCUUAAUUCGGAGCCAACUGCGCCGAUCGAGGAUGGGUGGAUGGAUGCCGCCUCGGGGGCUGUGAUCCUAGCGGCGAUCGAGCUGAACACCAGCCCCGCACUCCGCGAGACUCGUGAUUCCAAGGAGCCGAACUCCUUUCCGGACUACGAACCGUUCGCGCCUCUGCUGAUCGAAUCCGAUUGGGCGCCGAUCAUGGAGUUUACUGCCGCGGACAUCUUUCAGCACUCACCCUUUGGCGAUAUUAUGAAAUCACUAAAGUCUCUCUCUUUAUCAGGAGAGCCCUGGCCAGACUACGGUCAGCGAGAUUGGGAUACGGACGAUGAAGAAAUUCAAAGCCCACCCACCACCCACUUUGUAGCCACUGUCGACGAUUUAACCGACAUGCUCGACUUCGACUCCGAAGACAUCGACGGUAUGGACGCCGAUGAAGGAGACGAUGAAGAACCAGCGCCUAUUGGGACCUAGAACACCACCUCGUCAUAUGACGUAUACAUGGUGGACGCACCAAAAGAUGACGACGAGGAGCGGAAGGACGCACCGAAGGCUUGUUCCCUCGAAAAGCAGUCAAAGCGGCGACGCAAGACCCAACGCUGGAGCAGGGCAAACCGCUACCGGACAACGGCAAUCCGGAUAAUCAAACCGAACAAACAAAUCCUAUCAAGGAUAAUGGUCCGGACGACAUAACGCCAGACAGGCACCCGGAGCAGCAGACUGCCCGUAAAAGGCUUGUUGCCACCGCGAGGAGUCUGAAAAAGCAGAAGCAAAGGCUCAAGGCCGCGCAAGACACACUCCAAAUCAGAUGGAGUAAAAUACCCAACACAGCAGCAAGGUACGGCGACAAUCGCCCCUCCAAGAGCUACCCAAAGCAGAAGCUGCUACCGGAAUUCGAUGAGGAGGCCUCAGACCCCCCACAACCAAAUAUCAAAGCAGCCACCUGGUCGGAUAGACGACCCCUCUACCAACACAGAGCGGCAUACAACGCCGCUCACAAUACAACACGCGACCCAUGCGAGGGCUCGCACCCAAAGGACGGUGCAACAAGAUCCAUCUAUGGACCACGCAAGCGCGCCCCAGCAUACAAUGCAACACAACAAACAUCCGAACAACGUGGUACACCCAGCUACAGGUGUGCCGCACACCCCCUAUGUUUCACCGAUGAGGUGCUGGACCAUGAAUUUCUAGAGGGAUUCAAGCCCGUAAACAUAGAGGCAUACGACGGAACAACAGACCCUGGGGUCUGGAUUGAGGACUACAUCCUCCAUAUCCAUAUGGCUCGAGGAGAUGAUCUCCACUCCAUCAAGUACUUACCCCUCAAGCUCAAAGGGCCAGCUCGUCACUGGCUCAAAGGCCUCCCCGAAAGCUCCAUUGGAAGUUGGGAAGAGCUCGAAGACGCCUUUCGUGCAAAUUUUCAAGGGACUUAUGUCCGACCUCCGGAUGUGGACGAUUUGAGUCAUAUAACUCAACAGCCCGGAGAGUCAGCCCGAAAACUUUGGAACAGGUUUCUUACUAAAAAGAACCAGAUUGUCGACUGUCCGGACGCCGAAGCCUUGGCAGCUUUCAAGCAUAGCGUCCGUGACGAAUGGCUCGCCAGACACCUCGGCCAAAAUAAGCCGAGAACGAUGGCCGCAUUAACAAACCUCAUGACCCGCUUUUGCGCGGGUGAGGACAGCUGGCUAGCCAGAUGCAGCACCAGCGACCCCAGUACAUCUGAAGUUAGAGAUGGAAACGGGAAAUCACGACGCAAUAGCAAUAACAAACGCCGGAAUAAAGAAGACAACAUGAAGGGCAUGACAGUAAAUGCUGGAUUCAAAAGCUCUCGGCCAGGUCAAAAGCCCCCCCCUAAAGGCACCAGGGAUGAACUGUCCAGCCUCAACAAAAUUCUGGACCAAGUAUGUCAGAUCCAUAGUACCCCUGGUAAACCUGCUAAUCAUACCCACAGAGAAUGUUGGGUCUUCAAGCAGUGCGGCAAGCUCAACGCCGUACAUAAGGGGGAGGAUACACCAAGUGAAGACGAAGACGGGCCUCCCAAGCAAGACACGGCGGAACAAAAGAAAUUCCCACCAGAAGUCAAAACAGUAAACGUGUUACACGUGAUCAAGGGAAAAAACAACACGGCACUCCCAGGAAAAUAUACCCAAGUGCCUGUCACAGCGAAGCCCUGCCACUGGUCGUCUCAACCGAUCACUGUCGACCAUCGUGAUUACUCAGCAAGUAUCCGACACGUGGGAUGGGCUGCCCUGGUAUUAGACCCAGUAAUUGGCGGAUAUCACUUCACACAAGCCUUGAUGGACGGCGGCAGUAGCCUAAACUUAAUAUAUCAGGAUACAAUCCGCGGGAUAGGGUUAGACCCAACACAAAUUCGCCAUAGCAAUACUACCUAUAAAGGAGUAAUGCCAGGCCCAGAGGCUCAUUGUACGGGCUCCCUCCUACUACAGGUUAUAUUCGGCUCCCCCGAUAACUUCCGUCGCGAGCAUUUAACCUUCCACAUCACUCUAUUUCAAAGUGGCUAUCAAGCACUGCUCGGACGCGAAGCUUUCGCUCGCUUUAAUGCAAUACCACACUACGCCUCCCUCACACUCAAGAUGCCCGGUCCACGUGGCAUCAUUUCAGUGAACGGAAAUAUCAAGCGAUCUCUGCGCGCCGAAGAGAGUGCGGCUGCCUUGGCAGCCGCACACUAAAGGCGCCCGGACCAGUGAAAGCAUCCAAAUAGGUCGUCAAGACCUCAGACACAACUAAUCAAGUCCGACGCCGCUAUUUAUACCGAAUAAGUGGUCACACCCUUAUUUGUCAAUAGAAGGGGCUCAAUGCGUGCAGACAAGUGGCAAUUUCUUAUCAUCUUGAAUUAUACAUGGUUUCUUUAAAAACUAUCUUUUUGCACGACAACUCUUUCACUUAACUUCCUCUCUUUUACAGACGAUCAUCGUGCUACACCCGUCCAGGAUACAGCACAACAGAGACACAGGCGCAGACAUGCAGCAGGGACCCGCUCCAAGGAUUCUUUUUAGAUUAAGACCCUGCGUAAACCUUUUUUACUGUCUCUUGUUGAUACAUAUCCACCAUUGAGAAGGAUGCUGACGUCUUGGCAUGUGGCCACGCCAGAACAAUGCACGUACCUGGACACAAGGGGCUUCUUACAAAGGCCAUUAUUUAGGCCCGGUUUAUACCACAAAGACCGAAUACCUUAGGGAGUGUUCGGCGUCGCGAGUUUGGCCCUAUAUGCAUCAACUCCGAAUCAUUGUCUUUGGUCAAAUGUUGGGUUUGCCCAGCUCCUGUGUUUUGGUGCCUUACGUUCUGCUUUACCGGCUAAGGUAGCACCAGGAGAACUACUGUGAUUGUGCCCUGGUUCAUCCGGACGAGCACCUCAGUAGAGAAAGCUAAAAACUGACUGUCAUGAUAUAGCAUGAGACUGGUCAACCACUUGAUGACCAGUGGGAAUGUUAGAAUUCCUCUGCCUUAACGAAGGGCCGUUUUCCGGCCAGGCAUGUACGCACCCCGGAAUCGGGAGAGUGCGGAGCCACCAGGGGCUAUCUAGUAGCCCCACUGUCAAACUCCUAUGGCUAAGUGAAAGUGCUAAAGCAUUAUAGUCCGGUUGCCUCGCUCGCUCCGCUAUCACCUCCUUAAUAGGACCAAGACAUUGGGUUAAGUGUGAAUGCACGUUUUUGUGAGCACCUCCGCAUUAUAUGCGUGGGGGUUGAAGCCGACGACUGCAAUCUUUCAGGUUAUGCUCAUGUAUACAUAAACGGCCACCCAGGAGGCAUCAUAUUACUUUCAGGCAAAAGUAUAAAAAUAGCCUUAUAAAAAUUUAUAAAAGCAUUUCUCUUACAAAGAGAUUACAUAUCACUCAAACAUAAUAUUUUUUGAGCACUGGGUCUCUAUCAAACGGGCACCCUCAAGAACUUCUUCAAAGUAGUGCUCAGCAGCCUUUCGACCUAUGGCCGAAUCCCGCGCUUCAACAUUGGUAGCAUCCAUCUCCGCCCAGUAUGCCUUAACACGGGCAAAGGCCAUCCGUGCGCCCUCUAUGCAUGCCGACCUAUUCAUCACAUUAAUGCGCGGCACCAUGUCAAGGAACUGCUGCACCAAGCUGAAAUAGUUGUUCGGUUUUGACCUUUCCGGCCAUAGCUGAUCCACAACAGACCUCAUGGAGAGUCCGGACAACCUAUUUAGUUCGGCUCAUUCGUCUAAUUGGUCAGUCAAUGAAAGCGGACGCUCGGGAGAAUGGAAUUGUCUCCAAAACAGCUGGUCUACUUCACGGUCCGUCUGACCCUGGAAGUACUUGGCCGCAUCGACAACGCUCGCCGCCAAAUCCAUAUACACAUCCUCCAAACUCCACAGCCGAUCCAGAGGGGCAUACCAUGGAUCUCCGAACUUCCUCCGCAACAUAAAGGAUUUCCCAGCUACAAUAUCCCCGACUUCGCACAACUCCUCCUUCUUUGCCCUCAUAGCAGAGCGGAGGUCUUUUCUCAUCGCAGCAGCCUUCUCAAGGUCCGAUGCCUUCGCUUGGUUUUCCUUUUCAAGAACCCGGCAACGGUCGGUGGCGGCUUUUAAUUCUAUGGCCAUCUUGGCCAUCUUGUCUCGGCUCUCGCCAUGCGCGGCCUUCUCGGCUUGCAACUCUUCGGCCGCCUUCAAAGCAGCCGCAUUACCCAACCUCGCUUGUUCCUUAGCUCGGGCAAGUUCUGCCCGCAAGGCUUCAACAGUAGCAGCUCCAUCUGCAGUCACAACAUAUUAAAGAUACUGGCAUCAUGCUGCUCUUCCUAUUUUGGCGUUUACCAGAUAAUGACACUUACCCUGUGCCUCGUCAAGACUUUUGUUAACAAGCUCGAUGUCAGCGUCUGCCGCAUCCAACUGCCGUUCUAAAUGGGCAAACUCGCUAGUCCGGCUAGCCACCGGAGCUUCCAUCACCUGCACAUAGAGGCAGUAUGGCUAUUACCUGGGAAUAUGAUCCUCUGCACAUAGAGUCUCAGGGGCUACUAUCUACACAGGGCACACCUAGCAUGUGCAGGACUAUCAUACAUUCUUUUACGUACCUCAAAGCCUGUCAGUAGACUCAUAAAAGCUUCAUGCAAUCCGCUUUCGGCGGAUGAUAUUCUCUCCAUCACCGUAUUCAUCAGCACACAGUGUUCAUCUGAGACGGCCGCUCGCCCCACCAACUCCCUCAGAACAUUCGAUCGCACACUAGACGGUGCCGGACUCUUUUGUCUGCUCUCUUCGGGAGCCGGACACUGGGAGCUUCGGGGGUCAAUGGGAUUAUCUUCCGGCCUCACCGGACUCAGAGAGGCCCUCCGCGACGACACUUCAGGGUCGCCCGCUUCCGGAGCGGAGGAGUUUGGAGGAGGCGUUUUGCUCUCCAUCAUCUCUAGAAGAAGAUCCCCCGAAGACGAGCUCAUUUGAGAGGGGCUAAGGCCCGAACUGCAAAAAUAUAUGCGGUGGUUAUUCCCUCAGAAGAAAAAGAUGGCAUAUCUGUACUAUUAAAGUAUUUCGGGUCACUUACGACUCGCGGGAGAAUUGAUCCCCCCGCGGACUUUGUGCGGCAACAGCGCCCCCCAAGGUAGGACCCUCUGUGGGAGACUUCUUCUCCCGUUUGGAAGCUUCGGCUUCCGAAUCCCCGGGCAUAGUCCUUUUCCUCUUCUGGUCGUCUUCCUUCAUGGAGACGCUCGCUCCCUCGGUUAGAAUGGGCAGCGUUGGGAGCCCGCGUCCGCUGUAUUAUCCUCCACAGUAUCUUCCUUCAAGGGCUCCGGGCAAGGUGCGGUCUGGAGCAUCUUUUCCAAUACCGGAUUUUCCAAACCCUCGGGGAGGGGGGCCGAACACCGAAUCAACUUUGCCUUUGUUAGCUAGUCCUGGUCAAAAAGCAAACUCUCAUAAAUAACUUCGUAACAAAGGAGAGAUAGUAUGUUCGACCAGAAGAUGUCUUACCUGUUCGGCAGCGCGGUUACUACUCAGGCCCACGUCCUCGGUGAUUUCCGGACACUCCACCUGAGGUCCGAAGAAUGACUUGUACAUCUCCUCAUGCGUCAGGCCGAGAAAAUUUUGAAUGACACGUGGUCCCUCGAGAUUGAACUCCCACAGGCGAAGAGGCCGGCGUUUGCAAGGCUGGACUUGACGAACCAGCAUAACUUGUAUUACCGCAACCAAACUGAAAUCUCCAUUGAAGAGAUCUCGAAUGCGGCUUUGAAGUAUAGGCACGUCCUUGGCUGGACCCCAGCUCAGACCUCUGCUGAUCCAUGACAUCAGUUGUGGUGGAGGGCCCGAGCGGAAAACAGGGGCGGCCACCCACUUGGCACUUCUAGGAGCCGUGAUGUAGAACCACUCAUGUUGCCACAAUUCAGACACCUCUGGGAUGGAACCUUUGGGCCACGGAGCUCCCGUCAUCUUGCGUAUUGAGGCACCUCCACACGCUGCAAGUUGCCCCUCGAUCAUCUUCGGCUUUACUUCAAAGGUUUUGAGCCAUAGGCCAAAGUGAGGGGUAACCCGGAGGAAGGCCUCGCACACGACAAUAAAUGUCGUGAUGUGAAGAAAGGAGUCCGGAGCUAGAUCAUGGAAGUCUAUCCCGUAAUAAAACAUCAAACCCCUGACGAAAGGAUCCAGAGCAAGGCCUAGACCUCGGAGGAAGUGGGAGACGGACACGAUAUUUUCGUUGGGUUCAGGGGUGGGGACGGCCUGCCCUCAGGGAGGCAGCUGAUGCAAAAUCUCGGCGGUUAGAUAUCUGGCCUCCCUCAACUUUUUGAUGUCUUCUUCCGUGACGGAGGAAGGCACCCAUCGGCCUUGAAGGCUAGAUCCGGACAUGACUGAAGGUUCGGAGCACCUGACCUGAACUUCGCGCGUUUGAGCUUGAGGUGGGGGAAGGAUUCGAUUGAGCACGGGAGGGAAAAAUAAAAGCCUUGUCCCCUUUAUAAAGAGGGUGAAUAUCAAGCGUCCUCUCCGUGUCCGUUUGGACUUGCCUAUAAUCUAGGAGUCCUAGAAGCGGUUGGGUUACCCACGCCCGUAUUGAUGAGAAUCCCGGAAUAAGGGGACACGAUCUCUGCUUUAACAAGACGUGCCAAGGAAACCGCCUCACAUGACGCGCCAAGGUGGGAUAAUAAAAUGACUCAGAUAAAGGCUUGGCCGUGGUGUGUCACACUACGGAAUACGUCAGCAGAUUAGAUUUGUGUAAAUAUUAUUCUCUCUAUGGCAGUAUGUGGAAACUUAUUUUGCAGAGCCGGACACUAUCUUUGUGUUCAAAAUCUUCUAUGAAGUACUUGGAGGAGGAACCCGCCUUGCAAUGCCGAAGACAAUCUGCGUGCUGGACUCGUCGUCAUUGAAGCCUGGUUCAGGGGGUGUCCGGAUGGCCGGACUAUACCUUCAGCCGGACUCCUGGACUAUGAAGAUACAAGAUUGAAGACUUCGUCCCGUGUCCGGAAGGGACUUUCCUUGGCGUGGAAGGCAAGUUUGGUGAUACGGAUAUGCAGAUCUCCUACCAUUGUAACCGACUUUAUGUAACCCUAACCCUCUCCGGUGUCUAUAUAAACCGGAGGGUUUUAGUCCGUAGGACGACAUACCCAACAACAAUCAUACCAUAAGCUAGCUUCUAGGAUUUAGCCUCUCUGAUCUCGUGGUAGAUCUACUCUUGUACUACCGAUAUCAUCAACAUCAAGUAGGAUGUAGGGUUUUACCUCCAUCGAGAGGGCCCGAACCUGGGUAAAACUUCGUGUCCCUUGCCUCCUGUUACCACCCGGCCUAGACGCAUAGUUCGGGACCCCCUACCCGAGAUCCGCCGGUUUUGACAUCGACAAUCUUCGGCUUCACUUCAAAGGUCUUGAGCCACAGGCCGAAGUGAGGGGUAAUGCGGAGGAAGGCCUCACACACGACAAUAAAUGUCGAGAUGUGGAGAAAGGAGUCCGGAGCUAGAUCGUGGAAAUCUAGCCCGUAAUAGAACAUCAAACCCCUGACGAAGGGAUCCGAGUGAGGCCUAGGCCUCGGAGGAAGUGGGAGACGAACACGACGUUCUCGUUGGGUUCGGGGGUAGGGACGACCUGCCCUCGAGCAGGCAGCCGAUGCGAAACCUCGGCGUCAGGUAUCUGGCCUCCCUCAACUUCUUUAUGUCCUCUUCCGUAACGGAGGAGGGCAUCCAUCGGCCUUGAAGGCUGGAUCCGGACAUGAUUGAAGAUCCGGAGCACCUAACCUGGGCUUUGGGUGUUAGAACUCGAGGCGGGGAAGGGUUCGAUUGAGCAUGAGAGGGAAAAAGCGAAAACCUUGUCCCUUUAUAAAGAGGGUGAAUAUCAAGCGUCCUCUCCGUAGCCGCUUAGGACUUGCCUAUAAUCUAGGAGUCCUAGACACGGUUGGGUUACCCACGACCGCAUUAAUGAGAAUACCGUAAUUGGGGGAACACGAUCUCUUCUUUGACAAGACGUGUCAAGAAACCGCCUCACGUUAUGUGUGGAGCUGGUUGAAGAAAAACGGUUCGAAUAAUCACCGGGCCAUGACAUAACGUCAUGCUGCCAAAACAAGUCAGCAAAUUGGAUUUGCGAAAAUAUUAUUCUCUCUACGACAGUAUGUGGAACUUAUUUUGCAGGGUCGAACACUAUCCUCGUAUUCAAAUUCUUCUGUGAUGUAUUCGGAGAAGGAACCCGCCUUGCAAUGCCGAAGACAAUACAGCGCGCCGGACUCAUCGUCAUUGAAGCCUGGUUUAGGGGCUGCUGAGGGAGUCCUGGAUUAGGGGGUCUCCGGACAGCCGGACUAUCUCCAUUGGCCGGACUGUUAGACUAUGAAGAUACAAGAUUGAAGACUUCGUCUUGUGUCCGGAUGGGACUCUACUUGGCGUGGAAGGCAAGCUAGGCAAUAUGAAUAUGGAUAUCUCCUCCUUUGUAACCGACCUUAUGUAACCCUAACCCUCUCCGGUGUUUAUAUAAACCGAAGGGUUUUAGUCCAUAGGACAACAAUCACAACAUACAAUCAUACCAUAGGCUAGCUUCUAGGGUUUAGCCUCUCCGAUCUCGUGGUAGAUCUACUCUUGUACUACCCAUAUCGUCAAUAUUAAUCAAGAAGGACGUAGGGUUUUACCUCCAUCAAGAGGGCCCAAACCUGGGUAAAACAUCGUGUCCCCUACCUCCUGUUACCAUCCGGCCUAGACACACAGUUCAGGACCCCCUACCCGAGAUCCGCCGGUUUUGACACCGACAGCAAGCAUUUCAAAGGUGAGGCGGAUCACCGGACGAAGCCUCGCCACCAUACUGGUGCUGAUGUACAUGAUAUGGCCAAGGAUUUGAAGGUAGUCUUUGGAAAGGGUCCUGGCGGACAACCUGUUCCGAAUGACGUUGAUGGACGCGCACCCAUGUGGAAGAAGAAAUCUAUAUUUUGGGACCUGCCCUAUUGGAAAGACCUAGAGGUCCGCUUUGCAAUCGACGUGAUGCACGUGACGAAGAAUCUUUGCGUGACCUUGCUUGGCUUCUUGGGCAUGUAUGGGAAGACAAAAGAUACACCUGAGGCACGGGAGGACCAGCAACGUAUGCAUGGAAAAGAGGGCAUACAUCAGGGUCAUGCCAGCUACGCUCUUACCAAAGAAGAGAAGGAAAUCUUCUUUGAAUGUCUGCUCGGUAUUAAGGUACCGUCUGGCUUCUCAUCGAAUAUAAAGGGAAUAAUAAACAUGGCAGAGAAAAAGUUCCAGAACCUAAAGUCUCAUGACUGCCACGUGAUUAUGACGCAACUGCUUCCGGUUGCAUUGAGGGGGCUUCUACCAGAUAACGUUCGAUUAGCCAUUGUGAAGCUAUGUGCAUUCCUCAAUGCAAUCUCUCAGAAAGUAAUUGAUCCAGAAAUCAUAUCAAGGUUAGAGAAUGAUUUGGUGCAAUGUCUUGUCAGUUUCGAGUUGGUGUUCCCACCAUCCUUCUUCAACAUCAUGACGCACGUCCUAGUUCACCUAUGCGAAGAGAUUAACGUUUUGGGUCCUGUAUUUCUACACAAUAUGUUCCCCUUUGAGAGGUUCAUGGGAGUCUUAAAGAAAUAUGUUCAUAACCGUGCUAGGCCAGAAGGAAGCAUCUCCAAGGGCCAUGAAAAUGAGGAGGUCAUUGAGUUUUGUAUUGACUUUAUUCCUGACCUUAAGCUGAUUGGUGUUCCUGAAUCGCGGCAUAAGGGGAGACUGGAUGGAAAAGGCACGCUAGGAGGGAAUCAAAAAAUAUGUAUGGAUGGACAUUCUCUCACUGAAGCACACUACACAGUUCUACAAAAUUCCGCCUUGGUGGCUCCGUAUAUGGACGAACACAAGAAUUUUCUACGCUCCAAACACCCGGAGCGGUCUAAUGACUGGAUUACACGUGAACAAACCAGGAGUUUCGCCGGCUGGUUGUAGACACGUACCAUGCAUGACGCCUCUAUUGAAGAUGACUUGUACUCGUUGUCCCAGUUACCAUCUUCGAAUAUAAUGACUUUCAAAGGGUACGAGAUAAAUGGUAAUACAUUUUACACGAUCGCCCAAGAUAAGAAGAGCACCAACCAAAAUAGUGGUGUCCGCUUUGAUGCAACAACCAAGACGGGAAAGGAAACAUAUUAUGGUUACAUAGAGGAGAUAUGGAAACUUGACUAUGGACGUGGUUUGAAGGUCCCUUUGUUUUGAUGCAAAUGGAUCAAUAUGACACGAGGCGGGGUAACAGAAGACCCGCAGUAUGGAAUGACAAAUGGACAAUCUCUUUCGAAGUAUCAGGGUUUCGGACGAAAACUCAUCCGUUACAAAGGCAUUUCAUUUUUUAAUAACCUAAGCAUUACCAAAUUGAAUAUAAUGAUAAAAGACACUAAUAUUAAACAUAAGAAAAAAGAAUCACUGAAAAAUCUAUUUUCAAAGUUAAGUUAUUCACAAACUAGUGAUUCACACAAAUUUCAAAUAAUUCAAAAUGUAAACUAAUCAAAUUUGUAAACUACCGGCACUAAUAGAAAGUUUGUAAUUUUUUGUACCUAAAGCAAAAAUAUUCACAAGGAAACUCUAAAUACAGCAAAAAACAACUCAAAAAUAAAUAAAACAAAAAUAAAUAAAGCAAAAAAAGAAAAAGAAAAAUGCCCGCCUACUGCGCCACAGCGGCCUGCAUACGACUAGAAACCCAACCUAUUGUUGGGCCAGGAUGCAAGCCCGCAAAGGCCCAGUAGGCCCACAGGGCAGCACCGAACUUUUAGGCCCAGUAGGCCUGCUUUGGAGAGGAGCUCGAGAGAGCUACCGCACUGGGCUUAUAAACCAGUGCGGACGCCCCUCGGCUAGCGAGGUGGGACUAAACAUGACGCACCGCACCUGCGCCAGCGCACCCCCUUUAGUACCGGGUUGUGGCUCAAACCGGUACUAAAGGGGGGUCUUUAGUACCAGCUGUAGCCACCACGCGGUACUAAAGGGGGUUUGCUUCCCGCCGCUUGGCCUGGCCAAAACAAACCUUUAGUACCGGAGGUGGCUUCAACCGGUACUAAAGGUUAUUCUAUAUAAGAAAACACUUCAAAAAAAAGCAGUUUCUCAUCUCUCCCUCUGCUUUUUUUCCUCUGCCCCGUCGUCGCCGCCCCCGUCACCAUCUAUUGCCGUCCUUGUCGCCGUCCGCCGCCGUCCCCGUCCCCGUCGCCGCACCCCGCCCCAUCCUCCCGUCGUCCCCGCCCGGCCCGUCCCCGUCCCCGUCGUCGCCGCUCCGUCCCCAUCCCCGUCGUCACUGCCCGUCUCCGUCCCCGUCGCCGCCCCCCGUCGCCGCACCUCGCCGGUGAGCUCAUGCCCCGGCCGCCAUGUCCACACACACACACACAUUGUUAUAGAAAUGUUAGCAAUUUUUCUGUUUUUUAGUUAUAGAAAUAUUAGAAAUGUUAGUUAUAUAGAAAUGUUAUAAAUUUUUCUGUUUUUUAGUUAUAGAAAUAUUUAUAGAAAUGUUAGCAAUUUUUUCUGUUUUUAGUUAUAGAAAUAUUAGAAAUGUUAGUUAUAUAUAUAGAAAUGUUAGAAAUUUUAGAGUUAGUUUUAGCUAGAUGAAUUAGAUUAAUGUCAAAUUGUUAAUUUUAGAGUUAGUUUUAGUUAUCACAAUCCAAUCAUUUAAAAAAUGUUACUUUUUGCGGGCAUAUAGUAUUUGUUCUCGAUGAUGCCUGGCCCGCAUCCUCGCCGUCGACCCGUUCGCCACGACGUCCGGCUGACCCAUGUUUGGGACUGGGCUCCGCCGGGCUGGCACUGGGAGGUGCUACCUGGAGGGGCGCGUCGCUUGGUGAGGAACCCGGCCUCGGGUCCCGUCAUCGACCCUGAUCUCCUUUGGUGGCGUUCGCAUGGGUCACAUUUGGUGCAGAGGGAGCCGGCCCCGCCAGAGGUGGUGUGUCGUCGUGUCAGGGAGGAGGAUGAGCAUGUCCAUUGCUACAUGGCUGCUAUGGACGUCAGGUUCUCCAAUACCUGGCAGGUUCUUUGGGAAGAUGACCGGAGAUAUGAUCAUGUGAUGGUUCCUUGUCUUUGGGUGUCCACUGCCCGUGCCACAGGAACCACUAGUGGCCUAGAUUCUUCUGUAGUAUUUGAUCUUUAUUAGCUACCUAGCCAAUGAUGUAUUCAAGAUUAUAUAUUAUUCGAGAUGAUGUAUUCAAGAUUAUAUAUUAUUCGAGACGAUGUAUUCGAGAUUAUAUAUUAUUUGAGAUGAUGCAUAUUAUGUACUAUAUGAUUUAGUUUUUCCUUAUUGAUUGCAUCCAUGCAUUGUAAUUUGAAUACUAAAUUGUUUUAUAUUUCUUCUAGAUUAGUGUUAAAUAAAAGAUAUGGCGGACAAUACCGGCAGAGGACAUGUUCGAGAUCAUGCGCAGCCCUACCAGGCCAGAUGAUCUGAAUGAAGCAGAUGACGGCUCCCAAUAUCUAAACAAUACCGGGGAGGGUGAUGAUAAGAUAUUCGAUCAGGACGACCGAGCUGAUGAAGUCAUGAACUAUGAUUAUGAUUAUGAUUAUGAUGACUCAAACAAUGUUGAUCUUGAAAUAACAAAGACUACCGGUGAGGUAUAUUUAUAAGCAGGCAUCUGGUGAUCAUCACAUAUUUUUUUUAUUUUAAGAUAUAUUAACGAAUCGAUCUUUCUUCUUUCAGCCCUCCGAAUUGAGCAAAUCUGCUUCUACAGACGGAAGGACAAAGCGAGGCCCGGGCAAAAAGUUGAAGGAGGGUGUAAAGUACAACAUCGAUUCCAUCAAAGCGGGUGGCGAACCCCUCACGCCUAAGAACAUUGCGAACAAGUUCCUUCAUCAGUGCGGAGUUCUUGUGAAGGACCAACUCCCGAUCUCCAUUCAAGAAUGGAAAGAGCCAAAAACUAAACGUCCAGAUGUUACUUGGGUCGACGAUAGAGCAAAAGACAAUCUUUGGGAAUCUCUGAUGGAACAUUUCACCCUAUGAUACGUCUUCAACGUAUCUAUAAUUUUUGAUUGCUCCAUGCUAUAUUAUCUACUGUUUUGGACUAUAUUGGGCUUUAUUUCCCACUUUUAUAUUAUUUUUGGGACUAACCUAUUAACCGGAGGCCCAGCCCAGAAUUGUUGUUUUUUGCCUGUUUUAGGGUUUCGAAGAAAAGGAAUAUAAACGGAGUCCAAAUGGAAUGAAACCUUCGGGAACGUGAUUUUCUCAUCAGAUAAGACCCAGGAGACUUGGACCCUCCGUCAAGAAAGCCACGAGGCGGUCACGAGGGUGGAGGGCGCCCCCCUAGGGCGCGCCCCCCUGCCUCGUGGGCCCCUCGAAGCUCCACCGACGUACUUCUUCCUCCUAUAUAUAUCCACGUACCCCUAAACGAUCAGAACAGGAGCCAAAAACCUAAUUCCACCAUCGCAACUUUCUGUAUCCACGAGAUCCCAUCUUGGGGCCUGUUCCGGAGCUCCGCCGGAGGAGGCAUCGAUCACGGAGGGCUUCUACAUCAUCAUCUAAUCCCCUCCGAUGAAGUGUGAGUAGUUUACUUCAGACCUACGGGUCCAUAGCUAGUAGCUAGAUGGCUUCUUCUCUCUUUUUGGAUCUCAAUACAAUGUUCUCCCCCUCUCUUGUGGAGAUCUAUUCGAUGUAAUCUUCUUUUUGCGGUGUGUUUGUUGAGACCGAUGAAUUGUGGGUUUAUGAUCCAGUCUAUCUAUGAAUAAUAUUUGAAUCUUCUCUGAAUUCUUUUAUGUAUGAUUGGUUAUCUUUGCAAGUCUCUUCGAAUUAUCAGUUUGGUUUGGCCUACUAGAUUGGUUGUUCCUGCCAUGGGAGAAGUGCUUAGCUUUGGGUUCGAUCUUGCGGUGUCCUUUCCCAGUGACAGAAGGGGCAGCAAGGCACGUAUUGUAUCGUUGCCAUCGAGGAUAACAAGAUGGGGUUUUUAUCAUAUUGCAUGAAACUAUCCCUCUACAUCAUGUCAUCUUGCUUAAGGCGUUACUCUGUUUUUAACUUAAUACUCUAGAUGCAUGCUGGAUAGCGGUCGAUGAGUGGAGUAAUAGAAGUAGAUGCAGAAUCGUUUUGGUCUACUUGUCUCGGACGUGAUGCCUAUAUACAUGAUCAUACCUAGAUAUUCUCAUAACUAUGCUCAAUUCUGUCAAUUGCUCAACAGUAAUUUGUUCACCCACCGUAGAAUACUUAUGCUCUUGAGAGAAGCCACUAGUGAAACCUAUGGCCCCGGGUCUCUUUAUCAUCAUAUUAAUCUCCAUCACUUUAUUAUUGCUUUGCUUUUACUUUUUACUUUGCAUCUCUAUACCAAAAAUACCAAAAAAAAUUAUUUAUCAUCUCUAUCAGAUCUCACUUUCGUAAGUGACCGUGAAGGGAUUGACACCCCCUAAGCGCAUUGGUUGCGUUGAGCUAUUGUUUUUGUGUAGGUACGAGGGAUCCGAGCGUGGCCUCCUACUGGAUUGAUACCUUGGUUCUCAAAAACUGAGGGAAAUACUUACGCUACUUUGCUGCAUCAUCCCUUCCUCUUCGGGGAAAUCCAACCAGUGCUCAAGAGGUAGCACCCUACCAGAUUAUUUCACUGAUGCAGAUGUGCAGAAAGUCAAGGACGCUACUCUUAAGAAGAUGGCAAUUGCAUUCAACACCCACAAGAAAACUGUAUGGGCCAACUACCUCGCUGCAGACAGGAAGACUCUUGAAUUCACUGGAACACUGGAGAAGCAAAGAGAACACUGGCCCGCUUUCGUGGAAUUCAAGGAAUCGGAAUUAUCUAAGGAACGGUCGAGAAAAAACAAGGCCAAUGCCGCAAAAAAGACGCAGUUCCAUAGGCUGGGGACAGGUGGCUACGCGGUGGCAAUGCCUAAGUGGGAUAAGUUUGAGCAAGAUAUGGAGGAUGCAGGGGUCACUCCGGUUACUAGGAGCUGGGCCCCCAGGUGCAGAACUUGGUUCUAUGCGCAUGGGGGGAGUUGGACCCGGAGACAGGCGAGGUUUCGAAGAAGGCAAGUCUAAAAGGAGCCGAACAAAAGUUACUUGACGCAAUAUAAGAUGCUCGAAAGGGGGUGUUCACGCCCAACAGAGAGAACGACGAGGUUUCGCGCGCCCUGGGAAAUCCUGAACACCCGGGAAGAACACGAGGCAAGGGCGUUAUUCCCUGGUAUGAGGGCUUUUUGGAAUGGAACGACGACUACAGGAGCCGUGCAAGAAAGAAGAGGGAGGAGGAGAAGAAGAGGAAGCUGGAGGAGGAGCAGAGGAAGCAGGACGCAGAACGCCUUCAAGGCCUAGAAGCAAGGCACGCGGACUUGGCACUCAAAUUCCAGCAGCAGCAGCAGAUCGACUCACUUAGCCAGGAAAGGGGGUCUCAGCAGCGGCAGCAGCAAGCGGAUGAUCGUCCAGCAUUGGAUAGCACCAUCCCAUCCAUGCUGAGAAGCAGCAUUGGUUCCGCCCCGGCGACGCACUGCUGGAUACAUACCCUAUGAAUGACAUCAUAGAGAACACUAACUGUGAGCUACACUUCAAAAUGAAGAACAUAUCCAUGAAGGUGGCGGACGCCGUUGCUUUUACAAUUACCCCCGAAGCAACCUUCCAUUGCACCCCGAUUCCAGCAGGCUAUGCUCGUGUCUUGGUUGAUGAGGUGGUGGACCCAUAUUCGGGGCUACAGCUUGACAUUCCUGGAGGUGACGACGAGCACACACUGGGAGAGGCCAUACAUCGUAUCAUCCUAUGGAGAAAGGAUUGCAUCGUCUUUCGAAAUCCACCGACACCGCGUCUGCCGACUCCUCCUCGAAGUCCGCCACCGAGUCAGGGGACUCCCGCUCCUCCAAGUCCACGAACACGUGAGCCGACUCCUCCUCGAAGUCUGCCACCGUGUCUGCAGACUCCCGCUCCUCCAAGUCCACGAACGCGUGAGCCGACUCCUCCUCGAAGUCCGCCACCGUGUCAGCAGACUCCCGCUCCUCCAAGUCCACCAAUGCGUGAGCAUACUCCUGCUCCAAGUCAGCCAUGUCAGCCGUCUCCGCCGCCUCAGCAAUCGCAGAAGAGACACGUUGCAGCUAUAGUGCGUAGCGGUACGAGUCGAGGUAGUACAGGAGGUACAGGCGGAGGCAAGCGAUAUAAAUAUGGUCCAAGCCUCGCUCCUCUUCCUUAGAGGCCUUACGACAUGACCGAGGAGCAAAACAAAGCCAUAGUGAAGGCCCAAGUGGACGCCCAUUUUGGACCGAAAUCGGCACCGCCGCCAAGGGAGAAAGUGCCCGAGGAAAAGAUUGACCACUUCAUUCGUAUGUCUAGACCACCAGCUCCCAAGCCUGUUGACUCUGACUAUGAGCGCCAACUCAGGAAGGCACAUCGAGCACGAGUACAGAGGGAAGCGAGCUCGAGCUCGAGCCAACAAGCAGCUGCCAAAAAAUGCGGGAAAACCGUUCCCCGGCUGGGAGAACAGGCGGCGCAAUCGACCCCCCGCUUGUUGUGCCAACAACACAUGAGAGUACGCGCGCCGUAUAUUAUUGUGGGCAAACCGUUCCCCAGUUGAACAAUCUGAUAAUAACCGAGGAGCAUAUAAGGAAUGCUAAAAUGCUCGGUAUCAGUGUUUGACAACUCCUCGACAUCGAGCCCAUGUCCCCGCUUAGAGAGGAGGAAAUAAAACGGUAAUAUGUCCGCGGCCAACCUUUGGUCAAGCCCGAGGAGGUCAAGAACCUCCCAACGAGAAUGUAUGAAUUGCAUCAAUGGUACAUGAACAUUACUAAGAUUUCCAAUCGAGAGUCUCUCAUGGUGAAUGUCAAGGCGGAGCAUUACUUUCAUAAGAAAGCUCUGGCCGUUGAGUAUACAGAACUGUUUCAAUUAUUCAAUCAAGACGCACUCGACAAAUCUCUUAUCAGUUGUUAUUGUCUGUAAGUGAUUUCUUUCUGUAAUUUAAGUCUCAAGCUAGCUGUAGUGAUCAUUUUGAUCAAUCAUUACCUGUAAUUAUCCUCACUAUAUUUUUUCUGUGGUAUUAUGCAGGAUGAAGAUGUAUGAAAUGAAAAAAUUUGGACGCUAUGGCAUUGGAUUCAUUGACCCUAAUACCGUUAAUGCGUACACAUGAAAUAUUCCAAGUUGUCGAGCAAGUUUAGAGGAAAGCAUGCUAGAGUUCUCCAAGCGACUCAAUAGCAAUGAAGAUAUACUACUUCCUUACAACUUUCUGUGAGUCACAUUGUCUUUUGUACUACAAAUUCUGUUUUUGCUUAUAUAUAUAUGACCGGUUCUACGAGAAAAUCUAUAUAUAUAUAUAUAUAGGGAAAAUCCAUUCUACCACCCGGUGGUAGUUACCCCACAUAUCUCAUAUACUACCAUGUGGUACUAUAUAUACAAUUUUAUUAUUUUAAAUAUGUUCAUAUAAUAUAUCUAAGAUAUUUCAAAGCAAGUUACAUGAAAAAAAAUUGUAUAUGAACCCAUAUUUUUUGUUAUAUUUGUGAAAUACGUACAUAUUUAUACGUAAAAAAGAGCAUACUAAAAACAAGGUAUAUACUACCUAAAAAUUAGUAUAUAUACUACCUAAUCAUUGUUAUAUACUACAUACUACACAUACAUACUCUCGGUUUCGUUAGAUACUACAUACAACAUACAAAACGCAAGUGAUGGUAACUACCACUGCUUGUAGGAAACAUAUAUAUAUAUAUAUAUAUAUACAUGCAUAACGUGUACAAUACGUAGUAUCAUAAAAUACCAGCAAAUAAGAAACACAAAAUUAAAGAAAAAAGAAAUCGUGAACCCAAAACCCCGAAACAUUUUAGAACCGAUUGAUGUUACCAACCGGUACUAAAGGUCUCCCCGCCCCUGGCCCUGGCUCGUGUCACGUGAUGGCUCUUUAGCGAUGGUUCAUGCUGACCGGUACUAGGGUGGGGGGGGGCUUUAGUCCCCACCCUUUAGUGCCGGUUAUGAACCGGUGCUAUAGACCGAUUCUGCGCUAGUGUGAGGAGCUCUGAGGCCGAGCAGGAGGACGGCGGGGCGCAGACCCCCCGCGCGCGGACCACGUGUUCGACACCUAGCAGCAGCUCAGGACGCAAACCCCUGAUGCUAGAUUCGCCACCCCAUUGUCGUUCAACGCUGAGGACCACGACGCCACCAUCGGCCUGGAGCACCCGCUCAAGUACCGCCUGGUGAGCCACCUGAAGGACUAGGUCACACGACAUGUUGACCUGGCGCAGGUACAUCACUAGCAGUGUGACGAGUUAUGUGUGUAAUUAUUUGCUCUUAGACUUGCGAUUGCAGUGAGAGACUCGGCUGAGAGUUGCCUAGCAAUGUGAUAAUUUAUGUGUUUAAUUAUUAUCUUUCGGGGACCUGCCUAGCAGUGUGUGAGGCUUAUCUAGCUGAGGCCAUACCCGCCUAAUUAUUUAUCUUUGGGACCUGCGUAGCAGUUUGUGAGACUUAUCUAGCAGUGUGAUUACUUAUGGAAAAUGCUUAAUUUGAUCUCACUGAUUAUUGUACCCUGACCUCCAAAACUAGCGAUACACAUUCUAGUGCAUAUUUUUGAAUAAUGACGCUCACACAUUCACACCUUUGUUAUACUGAGCCAAAGAAGCUGGCAAUCUCAUCAUGUCCGUGCAAGUCCAUCACUUUAAUGAAAAAAAAGUAGACAUCAAAUCAUAUAUUUGAAGAGAAAAUGUUUACCAUAAAUGUGUAUAAAUAAAUAUUCUGAUGUAUUCAAAAAAUGUACACUAUGUAUGAAAAAAUUAGACAUGUGUUCAAAGAAAAGAAGAAAAACAAAAGAAGACAGAAGGAAUCCUGUGAAAAAGAAGAAAGAAAAAAAAGAAAAACAGAAGAAAACCAAUGCAAAACAGUGAAAACCGGAUUAAAAUCACAAGAAAAAUAACAGUAUUGGGCUAGCCCAGUAGGCUGACUCAAAUAUAUGUAUUGAACAAAUUUAUUAAAUGGCAUACUAAUAGCAUGUUAAUAAAUAACUAAAAGUAUUUUGUUUGGUUCAAAAUUUUGUUCAUAUGGCUCCGGAUAUCCUUUCAUGAUUACUAUAAAUAAAAUUUUCAUGAUGCAAGUCAAAAAUAUUUCAUGGAAUCACAAAAUAUCUUAUAUUGUGUCUCACACAUAAAAUUAUUUUGUGUUCCAAUCUGAUAUGUUUUAAUGAAACCAAAUGUUGAAAACUAUCAAAAGAGUGUUCACAUAGUAUUUAUGUCUUGGAAAGAAAAAUAUUCAUAUGUACGGAAAUUAAAUAUGUUUCCAAGAUAUGAAUAAUUAAUUAAUUACAAAAGUAAAACCGAGCUGCCUACGCCUCUCCGCAGCGAUAAAGCUCGUCAGUCAUCAGAUCCUUCGACGUCAUUCAGGAGUACACGCAGACGGUUGUCUACAUAAGUGACAGCUGGAAGAUGGUGUAUCUUGUGUUGGGUUUGUGGUUCGAGGCUGAAAGUUCUGGCUUCCUUCUCCGACGUCGUAGUCAUGCAGGGGUGUCAGUUCUGAAGUUGCCCCGGUCUGAUUUUUUCAACGACAAUGGUUUUGCUUCAGGCAAACUACUUUGGAGGUCCGUAAAGCUGCUGAUCAGCGAUGGAGCCGCGUCGAGUUCGAGUGAAGAGGUAAUCUAUCUCCUCUUCCUUAGUGGAGAGGGACAGGCCCUGGUUUUCUGCAUAGGAUUAUCCCAUCUUCUCAGUCCUAUAAUGUCGAUGUUUAUGUGGCUUGUAACUGAAUCUUUAUUUUAUUAAUAAGAUACGUAUUAUCAUGCAAAAAGUCAUCGUAUCCUUGUAAGUACCAUAUCAGUCCAUCGUGUCAUGGGCGUAGGAAAGGUAUUUUUUUCCCACCUGCCAGGCCGCUUCGACUGUUGGCCCAGCGUAUUCAGCCCCGUUCCUAUGAUGUCGUUUGAGGAUACAUCAUUUACUAUCUAUCUAUCUAUCUAUCUAUCUAUCUAUCUUUUUUUGAGAGAAAACAAAGCUUUAUAGAUCAACAACGUCUGGGCAUAUCGCGCGACACGCAAGCAGUCACUUUAGACGGUACAAUAGGAUCCCACUCUACACACACAUUUGGUGAAUAAUUUCAACCUAUAUGGGCUAACUCAUGCGCAACAGAAUUCAUAGUCCGUCUACACGCACUGACACUCCACCUGGAGAACCACAUCUUUAAUUGAAACUUCAUGUCUUCAAUGAUUGUUGCAUAUGGCGAGGCGUCGACACGCCGGAUAUCCAUCGCCUCAGCCAGCCGCUCAGAGUCCGUCUCAAAAGUCACUCUGGUAGCUCCUAUCUCAGCUGCUGUUGACACCGCCACUGCCAGAGCAUUGACCUCUGCUCUGAAAUCAUCAUGAACCUGCUCUUGCCUCCCUGCCCUAGCGAUGAUGACAUGCCAUGUGCUAUCGCGAGCCACAACUCCCCAUCCACUGAAGGAGUUCCCCAGUGUGAAGGCGCCGUCUAGGUUAAAUUUAAUGACCUCGUCUGCAGGCGGUUGCCACUUCUCGGGGGGCGUUUAGGCUUGGCCGGUUAGAAAACCUGCUCAUACUCAAGUGCAUCACAGCGUGUUCGCCUAGCAAUCUCUGCCACAUGCACAGGAAGCUCUCCUUCUUUGACUUUAUUCCUGUUGUUCCACCAAUGCCACCAAAAGGAUAUGAUUAGCACCCUUUUCUUUUCAUCUAGACCCCAUAAAGAGUCGAGCAUUGCAUGCACACUCCCAAUCCCCUCGAGCAGUCCGCUCCAGUUCCAACCUCAGGUGCCCCCAAACUUCCUUUACUACCUUGCAUUUUAUGAACAGGUGGCCACCAUCCUCUUCCCCUCUGCCACAUAGGAAACAGCUCGACGACUCUAAUUUCAUUCCGUGUCUCACCAAGUUUGUGCAGAGGGCUAGGGACUCAUGCCGGAUUCGCCAGGCAAACAUUUACAGCUUUGCUGGACAGGGGAUCUUCCAUAUCCGCUUCCAGCUCUGAUCCGGACAUCUAUCAAGUUGGCGUGAUCCCGCUGUGCUCGUACUUGGUGCCCCAUUUCUUCUUUGUUUGUUCAACUCCGCUAGCAGCUUGUAGGCACUCUUAACUGAAUGAUUGCCCUUUGUAUCAAAGUGCCAUGCGAUGAAGUCCUCUACCCCCUCCCUCAGUGGGAUUUGGAGUAUAUAGCAGGCAUCUUCCGCACAAAAAGUGUCCCUAAUUAGGCGUUCAUCCCAUCCACCCAUGAUCGGGCUGAUCUAUUUAUCUACUAUCUACUAUCUAUCUAUCUAUCUAUCUAUCUUUUAUCUACUACCACUAUAAAAGCAGGAAAGAGCGGAGAACCAAAUCAUUUCAACCAUCAAAACAUGUUAAUCUGAUGGUCUAGAUCGUCUCAUAGCAUUCUCUUCCGCCACCACCAUUCUCUUCCGCUUGCGUGCUCUUGCCUUGCCCGCACCUCCGACAUGCUCUUCAUGGCCGCCGCCUGGCCCGCCUUAGGAAACCGGCACCAUCACGCGACCUGCUGUGGAUCCGCUCGAGGGGUAGACGGAGCAGGGCGGCGGUUCUUGCCGGCGCCAAGGAGGGCGAACAGGAGAGCGUCCCGGAGAGGCGGAGACGUACAAUUCCGUCGACGCUGCCGCAUCUGAGAGCGCCGAGAAGCAUGACCUUGAGGUAAUUGAUUGAUGGUGGUCGAGACUCGAGAGCGGCGGUUGGCCCAAAGGAGUUUUUCACGUUCUUCUUGGUUCUUUGGCGCAGGAACCAUCGCCUGAGUCGGACGAGGUCGCGGCGGUGUCUCGCAACACGACAUUAAUCGCCGCGGGAGUUGACGAUGGCGCCGGCUCCGAGCCUGUUCUUGGCGCAUCGUCGUCCUCGGUGCCGUCGCCCGCGGUGGUCACUCAUGAAGACCAUCUGGAGAGAAGCAGCACAAGGUGAGUUACUUAGCAUACAACUUGUGAUGCAUUUUUCUGGUUUAUAGGUGUGCGUGUGUUCUGAUCUGAUGGUAUUGUUUUUUCGUGUUCUUUCUGUUCUUCAGUGAUGGUUAGCGAUAUGGUUCGGGAUUGCAUACUGGGCCUGGCAAAUAACAUUUGGGGGGUCACACACGGCCUUGGAAUCCUUUAUCUGCACCUCGUUUUUGUUCGACGCAGCCCUGAACAUAUCAUUGUGCCUGGUGAAUUAUGUAUUUAUGUAUAACUGAAAUUCUGAAUGAACUCAAGUUGUCAUAUGGGAGUGCUUGCAAUAUUCACAGGUUGCAGUUUCUCCAAUGCUGAAUGUUUAGUCUCUUCCGACUCCAGAUUGCCUACGCUUUGACGAAGUCGAACCAGCAGCCGUCGCCCAUUACCACAAUAAGCACCUCGCUCCCCUCCUCCUCCCCUUUGGACCACCGGUAAUUUACCCUGCUUCCUAGCUUCAAUUAUCAGUUUAAAUAUGCAAAUACUCACCUCCUUUUGCAAUCCUGGUCAGUUUAAAAUAUGGCUAUUGAAGAUCCAUUUAUACUUCCACUGUUCCACAUGGUUUUAGAAUCUGGAUAAAAUCAGUAUGGCAGUAACGUGAUUCGUUCAAGUGAGGUGUCUUUUGUAGUCUUGCUGAUAUACAUAAACCAUAACCAUAUUUUGUAUGACUCUCAGCAUCCUUGGAGUGAAAGAUAGUGACUGCAUAAUGAAGUUUAAAUCAUAUUUCAUAUGUUUGUUUCGAUGAUGAAUUUUUCUUUUAUUUGCUUCUAGGAUCAGUUUGGAACCAGCCCUCUAGAUUAGAGUAACUGAAAAUUGAUGUAUAAUAUUAGGUGUGUGAUUUUAGUGUGAAAAAUGGGCUUAAGUUAUUUGAAUAUUGUCGUAUAAAAUGUAUUUUUUAAUUGCCCUUACAAAUCAGGAAAAAUUAUAGUUCCAAGCAUUUUGAAGUGAGAUCGGAUAUUGUCGUUUCGUUAUUUUUUCAGUUUUUUGCCACAUGGUUUUGUUAAUCAAAACUAUUAAAAAAUUGUAUUUAACCCUUUGUUUAGCUCAGCUGGUUACUUCUAUUCUAAGCUUUACUAACUGUUGAAUGUGUGAUUCUAGUGUGAAAAAUGGGCUUAAGUUAUUUGAAUAUUGUCGUAUAAAAUGUACUUUUUUUAAUUGCCCUUACAAAUCAGGAAAUAUAGUUCCAAGCAUUUUGAAGUGAGAUCAGAUAUUGUCGUUUCGUUAUUUUUUCAGUUUUUUGUCACAUGGUUUUGUUAAUCAAAACUAUUAAAAAAACUGUAUUUAACCCUUUGUUUAGCUCAGCUGGUUACUUCUAUUCUGAGCUUUACUAACUGUUGAAAGUGUUAUACUUUCAAUUAACACUUUAUUUUUGUAUUGUCCAAUUGUGUUUAACCCUUUGCAAUUUUUGAUUCUUGGAUCCCUUCUGUUGUUAUACUAUUUGUGCUAUACUUCCGAUUAGCUGUUUUGAAAUUCUGAGCUUCCUAUCAUAUUUUUUGAGUUAUCCAUGUUGUACCCAAUGCGUGUCGGGGAUCGUUCCCUGUUUAAGGACAUAACGAACUCAUCUGUAAAUAGAAACGCAGAAACUAGUCAUACUCAGGUAGGGCGCUCAUGUACAUUCCACCACUGAUGUCCUUGCGGUUUGCUUCCCGUAUUUCUUAAGCAAAAGAGUCGUCUUUACUAUCAUAAUUUUGUUUCCUUGCCUAAUAUUUGAACAGUGCUUAACCUUAUAUUAUUUUUGCACUCAUGUUUACUUGUGAUAAUAUUAAGGUUAUGAUAAUGUGUCCAUUUUACCCCGCUGGCAUAUAUAUGCUUUUAGAUGCAUUUACUUAAUAGUAGAAAUGAAUAAUGUGUUUUUGGUUACAUUGUUUCAUCAAUGGAUUUAGAGAGAGGGGAAAAGGUGUGAACAUAUGUAUAUGUAACUCAUUGGCGUUCAUAAGUCUGAAGAAUGACCAACGACAACUCAAAACAAUGAGAAUGGAGUCCUGAAGUUAAAUUCCUUGACUAUGUACACAAAUGCUUAAGUACACUACAAAGUAUAAAUUUUAUUAAUUAUAGCUUUUCUGAAACCUCAAAUACACAUUCGUUCGUAAUAUUUUUUACUUUUAUGAUUGAGUAUUCUAUCCAUACUCCCUGCAAAAUAAAAAGAUAUUUUAUCUAGACACGUGAAAUUUCACAUCCACGCUUACUAGUGGAAACUAGUAAUGGAUUAGUGACGUUGUUUGAAUAUUUUAUAUGUUUAAACUACAUGCUCCGAAUACUAUUUAACUUUGAACUAUGUAAUUUUAAAUUUGAACUAUUUAUUCUAUGUUUAACCCAUGCAUUUCUUUCUAGUAUUCACGUAUAGGAGGGCUGAAAUUUGAGGAGUGCCCUUGGAGAUGCCUUUAGUGGACUAAACUGGACUGUCAUAAUAAUUCCAAUCACCUGCCAUGCAUUUUACUCUUCAAAAUCCAGCCAUUCAGUAAUGCACAUAGAGCGCAAUGUGGAACUGGGCGUUCAGUUGUGAAGUAAUCAAGGCAUUUGUGGCGGCUGGAAGUUUAAAAAUUUGCACCAGUUGGACGUUUUCACCAGAUGGAUUGCCCCACAAAAGAGGAAGUGCUGCUUACAACUGAUCGAACUAUGUAAAUCCCUAUAUCUACUUCUCAUACUGCCCGAAGUACACACCCGAGAUGGCCACGAGUAUGUUCAGCAUCACAACUUCAUCGUCCAUCUCCGACUUGGUGGCGAGGAUGGUUGAGCACUUGCGCAGCAUCGACCUCAGCGACGCGCAUGUCUCUGCAUCCAAGGGCGGCUCAACAGCGACGCAUAGCGCAAACAGCCACAGGCAGUCAUUCCUUGAGAGUGUAUCAAAGCUCUGGAUCAUAUCGAUGUAGUUGCGCAGUGUGGCAGCUCUUGAAACUGCGUCCAUCUUGCGAAUCAUCGUCAGCGUCGGGUCGAUCUGCGGCUCAAAGCUGAUGCCAGGUUUACAGGAGUUCUUCACCGCUCCUGAUACAGAUGGUCCAUCAGAGCUGUCAAGUUCCAAGAAUGCCUGCGGAGAAGAGUAUUCAUACAUCACUAUAGCAGACAUGAUUGUCAAAAAGCAGCUAACGACAAAGGAGAUUCACGCCAAGUUACUCUAAUUGUACCGACUUCAAGUUCAAGUCAUCAGAAAGACAGUCAACACCAUUUGUCAUUGCAAAAGGUGGAGCAGCAAGGUAGUUGUACAUCAUGUUUCUCCAUUUUUAAUUUGCAAGGUAUGACAGGUUUCUGAAUUUAGGAAUUUUCACAGGUAACAGUGAUUUUACUCUCAACCCCAAGAUGCCUGUCUCAACUUCAGGUUUAUCAAUUAGUUAUUGCAAAUGACACUAGUAACAGGAUAUGAGUUUAUCAAUUACUUCAAGAUUUUGCUCUACCAUGAUAAAAACACCCCUAAAAGUCUACUAGUAGUUAUAGCAUAGUAGUACGGUGCCCUGUUGCUAUCUAAAAUAUUUUGAACAUGUGCCGUUAAGAUCUGGGCGCUUGACAAAAUCAAAUAUUAAAAAUUGUAAAUGAAUCGAAAUAACUAUGUAGAUACAGUUUAAUUUUUUACUUCAAACAGGGAGUAGCAGCCAAGGCCAAGACACACAUAGUGUUUCCUUCACGACUAUAAUUAUGAAAAGGGGAACAAAGCUUUUAUGCACAGUGGUACAUUUAAAUGGAAAUAUAGCUUACCAGCCUUGUCUCUGAAAAAUAAGUAAUAAAUGAGUCCUCCCAUUCCUUUGAUGCACACAAAUCAGGUGAACACUUAGGUAUGUCAGGAAUUUCUGGCAUAUAAGGUGUUUGCUCCUUUCUAGCUGCACUCAAAUCUAUCUUGGCCACCUUCACUUUAGGAAUCUGGUUAGCUUCCCACCUGUAAACAUAAUCAAAGGAAUAAUCAUUAAAGCAAUAAUAAUUUUGCAUCAAAAGGAACAUGGCCAAAUGUUUAUCCACAGAAGUUAAGAAAAAAAAGACAAAUAUUUUGCAAGAUGAAAUCAACGAUACCCUUGCCUCUAAUUUCUUUAUUCGACAGACAGUGCGGUUUCUAUUACGUUUAGGCUCAUAUAGAUGCUUUGAGCUAUGCAGAUACAUGAUUAUGCACUAUAGAACUGGGUCAGCAGAACAGAUGUGUUGCAAGAAAAAUUGAUGAAAUGACAGCUCAAUAAGAAUCGCAACACAAGUGAGAUACUUGAGAGUGAAACUGUACCAUAUUUCUUGAUCUCGGGAACGAGAUGAGAAGGGGAACUGCAGAUCUUUCCCAUUUGCUGUUCUAUUGUCCAAGUGCUAAAACUAAGCUCUUACAUAUUGAUCUGGUAACUAAUAUAAAGUUUGUAUUUCAAAUCUCUCAGGUUUGCGUUCCAUAGCACUAUGUCAACCCAUAGAUCAUAUGCAACACCAUUGCAUGCAUACACACUGGCAUCUAAGCGGUGGUCUGGUCUCGCUGCCCACUUGCCAUUUUUUGUACGAAGAACUUGCAUAUCAGAUAUAUUAAUGUUAGUUAAUGCAUCUAUGAACUCAAUUAAGAGAAAGAAAAUUCAGAGAUAUUAAUGCACAAUCCAUCCCUCUGCUUUCCUAAGCCUUAGUUGUUCCUGCUAGAGCUCCAGCAAGAUGAGCUGGUAACAUUCCCUUCUGGAACAUCGAUAGCAACAAAAAAAACAUUGGUGGCAAAUUAACUAAGAGGUUAAAAAAAUCAUAUUACAACUGCAAUGUUCACUAGUUUCAGGCAAUCGUGAAUUUUGGUACAAGACUUGCAAAAGCAAGCCAGGAUUGUAAAAAUAAUAAUAACUUAUUAGGUUACAUAGAUUUCUACUUCCACUUCCAUGAGAGCUAGAGGCACGGCAAGUAAAUUUUCUCCAACAGGAUUUCUAAUAGAAUGAUGAUAAUGAUGUUGGCUCUGAAAAUAGAAAUCUAAAUACCAGAAGAAAGCUAUUCAGCGAGCACCAAAAUUACGAUUUACGAAAGAAAAACAUGAAAACAUACAAGGAAGCUGGCGCCAGCACCUACAUUUACCAGUAAUCUAGGGUGACAAUCAGGCAAUUAUAUGCUCCUAACAGCUGUCAGCUACUCACUCGGGGUAAACAUUCACCACAUAAUGACAACACGAAAUGCACACACGCACUUCAAAGGCCUCCUAGAUCCAACCAAUCGACCAGGAUGAUGAGCAAAGCAUACCUGACACGCCGGAGAUACUCGAAACCAUCGAGCGGCUCGCCAGACUCGAAAUCAGGCUCCCCAUCAACCGCAAAGGCAGGCUUCAGAAUGCCAUCAUACUCAUCAUCACUGUCAUCUUCAUACUCCACAUCCCCGCCCUGAUCAAACGGCUCCCCGGUCGCCUGAUGAACCCCCGAAUCACCAUUCCUCCAGGCACCCAUCUCUACAAAAUCACAAGCAAAAGGAACAAUUACUAUCUAAACAAGUGGAGUAGUACUCUGUAAACCUAAAGGGGUCCGAGCCCCGCGGCUAGGUUCGCAAGCGCGAAAUCAAGAGGGGGUUCAAUACCGGACAACUGGUGCGCCGCCGCCUCGGGCCUCUUCUUCCCGCCCCCGGAGACCUUCUUCCCCCUCCUGGUCAGCGGCUCGUCGGAGGCGAGGAGGCCGUCGUAGUCCCCGGAGAAGCCCGCGGCGGCGAGGGCCGCGUACACCUCGGCCCACCGCAGCGCCUGCGCCUCCCGCGACGGCGCGCCGCUGAGCGCCUCCAGCUCGUGCCUCGUGUACCUCAUCGCCCCCGCCGCCAGCACCUCCUCCACCUCCAAUGACGGCGGCAACAGAGCACGAAGGGUUCGAGUUUCCAUUUUUUUUCCACCAAACCCCACGGGCUCGGCUCGCCUCGCCGCCUCUCUCUUCGUGGGCUAGCAGUUGGGCCUGGCUCGGACGAGGCCCAGUUGAUUCGCAUCGUGGGCUGUAUAAAAUAGCGAAGGGGUGACGCGGCCGGCACAGAGCCGCAGACGUUCGCACCAACUCCUCUGAACUCUGAAGCCUGGACGGAGCGGAGAGGAAGGGGAGAGAUCACCGACCGGCGGCGAGGCGAGGGGAGGGGAGAUGGCCGGAGGAGAGGAAGGGUGGAGGAGGAGCGGCAUCGAGGUGAGCACCCUGCAGUUCGGCUACGACGGGGAGGCGCCGCUCUUCGCGCGCUUCAACCUCCGCGUCGCCCCCGGCUCGCGCUGCCUCCUCGUCGGCGCCAACGGAUCCGGUAAGCACCUCACCCCCACCGCUCACCACGAGCCGCGAAAUCUACUUUGAUGCUGCUCCUGUCCGGUGAUUGUAUGGUUCGGACGGGUCCUUCUGCUGGGCACCUUGUGGCUUGCCUAGCUGCCGGAUGAUUUAGGCACGAAUGUUCAGACUUCAGGGGAUUGAUUGAUGUGACUGCGUGAGGCUCCGUUAACGUGCUAGAUGUUGUUCUUUCUGCGUUUGCUAGGACUGGGCUAGAAUGUAGUGAUUGGUCUGUAAUUUGGUUGUUGCCUCAAGAAGUCAGGAUUGCUGUGUGGUGGCCUGGUGAGGGUUUUCGUGUGCUCUGUCCGUUUAAAUGGCCUCUGUUUUGAGGGGAAUGGUGCUGUAGUUAAAAUGUUGGGAUUCUUCAGGCGGGGCUGCGGUUGUGUCGUGCAUUUGUGCUUGAGAUGGAACUGGCUCAAUAGUAUGAACACAACUGUGAGCACAGAUUAGCUAAUUAUAUACUAGGGGGGGGUGAUCGAAAAGGGCACUGCACUGGAAUGGAUGAAAUGCUGGCCGAUACUUUUUGUAUGGUAUGGCCUAUUGAAUUUUCGUUUGCGGUUCUUUUGUCGUGAUAUUGAGCAUCGCGUCCGUCAAGGUUUGGGCAUCUCCUGUCUUUCUUUCUCAUACAGAUUGAAGGUGGUAGAGCUGUGGGAUUUCUUGUCCAAGGGAUGCCCUUCGUUCAGCUUUAGCAUGGGUUUUAGGCAGCUUGUACUGUAAAUGUCAUGUGUGACACAUUUUUUUAUUGGAGAUUACCGUCUCUGGAAUUUUUCAUGAUAACCGUGUGGCACCAGUAGAUCGCUAUGCCAAAUUCCAAAAGGGGUGCUGCCAUAACAGAAGGAAAUUCUUUGUCCAUUCUGAAUUAAUCUGCAAACACGUGUACAAUGCAUUGUUGCUGACUUGCUGAUGUAUGUUUUGUUCUUAUCUUGGAUGAGUAAUGUCUUCUACACAAAUUUAUGUACCUGUUUAUUUCAAACUGCAGGCAAGACCACUCUCUUGAAGAUUCUUGCAGGAAAACAUAUGGUUGGAGGAAAGGAUGUUGUCCGUGUUCUUAAUGGUUCUGCUUUUCAUGACACACAGUUCGUGUGCAGUGGUGACCUUUCCUACUUGGGUGGUUCGUGGAGUCGGAAUGUCAGUUCAGUUGUAAGUUCCCUCUUUUUUUACUUGUUAUAAGAACUAGAAAUUUAGCUCUUGCUUGCUAUCUUCAUUAUUGAUGUUUGCCUAACUGAGCAUUUUCUUACUUUUCAAAUGGCUUUCUCCAGAAAAUCUCAUGGGAGCUAUUUUUAAUUACUUAAUGCCGGCUGAACUAAUAUAGUGGCCUUUGUCCAUGUUGUUUCAGUAUCUAUAGAUAUUCUAGGUGCUUGACUGAAUAUUGUAGCUGCAGCGAACCUUUUUCCAUAAAAAAGUUGUUAGAAUUCCUCUUUCCCUACUUCAUUAAUUAAUAAUUGAUGUAUGACCAGCUUGUCGACAGCACUUUUUAUGCGUGCUUUAUUUGUCAGAGCAAUGGCUUUGUAUCUUACAUGCAAGUAAUUUUCUCAGGGUGAUGUUCCACUACAGGGCGAUUUCUCUGCUGAGCACAUGAUAUUUGGAGGUAUUCUACAUGCAGCAUGCUCAUCAUAUCCCAUUAUUUGUUUUAUAUGGAUGGAACAUGGAAGCAAUAAUGUGUGCACAUACUGUUUAUUCCUUGAAUUAACUUGUAUCCAUUGAUGCUUCAAGCAUUCCUUGUAGUUAAUUUCCUGCUGUCAUGAUAUGUUUAUUUAAAUCAUUUUACUUCCACAUUUGUGGUUUAGCUUUAUCGAGUUUCGUUUAAUCAUCUCAGUUAAAAUCCACUGAAAUCCAUGUUACUCUUAUUAUUACUGCAAAUAGGUAAUUGAUGUUAUUGACAGUACAUGUAAAUACACCUUUCUUCCUCCACCCUGAAACAUGAGCAGUUGAUGGAGUUGAUCCUGUUAGGCGAGAGAAGCUGAUUGAUCUACUAGAUAUUGAUCUGCAAUGGCGCAUGCAUAAAGUUUCAGACGGACAGCGCCGCAGGGUACAAAUUUGCAUGGGCCUUCUUCAUCCAUACAAGGUGAUGCUCUAUUCCUAGUUUUGUGUCGAUUAUUCUGAUAUAUACUCCUGACUGCGUCUCAUACUGUGUUCUUGUACCAAGUUGGGUGCUUCUUGAUCAGAUACUUGUUUCUUUGAUUAUCCUGAGGCUCUGAGCCUUUCUCGGUGUAUUCUUUUGCUAGGACAGAAAAGUGAGUUUACUAUGCAAUAGCCAAACUGCCAAAGGCAAAAGGGCUGUUUGGGUGUAAUCUAGUGCAAAGAAAACCACAGCCACAUGAUCAGUGAUCAUUUGACCACUAAACUACCCUUGUAUCUGUCAUAUUACCCUCACAAUUAACCCUGGAACUGCCACUAUUUAUGUCUUCGCUCCUCAGCGAGCCAAGAAACAACUUUACUCACUUCAUUGCCCAUCAGUUGUGAAGAAUAAUAGAAACUUCAUUGGAAGGACUCUUGAUUGAUAGUGUAUAUUCAGUCACCAAGUGUGAUUGAGUUAGAACGAGUUUGUUGUUGAGUGACUUCAGUCAGUUGUGAUCCAUGCACAUAUAUAGCCAGGUGACGAGUCAAUGUGCAGAUGGGAAACGUCUGUCUUUUAGCUAAUUCGCAGAUUGACAAAGAAAGGUUUAUAUAGCCAGUUUAUUCAGAGGGUCACCAAAACCUGGUCCAUUCCUUUGAAAUGAGAUUCUUGUAGUCUACUACUCUACUUUACAAUGGGUCUCACUUGAAAACACAAUAUUCCGAAGUUUGUUUUAUUAAAACAUCUCUGAUGCCAAUACAGGUACUCUUACUCGAUGAGAUCACCGUGGAUCUCGAUGUCGUGACCAGGAUGGAUCUCCUCGACUUCUUCAAGGAAGAGUGCGAGCAGGUAACGGUUUUCAGUUCAUUCUAGCUUUUUUCCCAGCCCACACUUUUCUGAUUGCAUAACACGGAAGUUUCUUCUCAGAGAGAAGCCACGAUUGUCUACGCCACCCACAUAUUCGACGGGCUGGAGACAUGGGCCACCGACAUCGCGUACAUCCAAGAGGGCGAGCUGAAAAAGUCGGCGAAAUACUCGGACAUCGAAGAGCUGAAGACGGCCAAGAACCUUCUGACGGUCGUGGAGUCAUGGCUGAAGUCCGAGACCAAGCUCCCAAAGAAAGAGCCCGCGCGCGUCGAGAGCCAGCCCAGGCGCUCCUCCCCGUUCGACGCCUCCCCUUUCCGAGCGUCGCGCCACAUGGCCUACUACCGAUGAUGAUCGUGUAAAACCUCUACACCCAUUCCGGUGUCAUACAACUCUGGAGUCUGUAUCUUUCUUCUUUCUGUUCCUCAUCCAUCCCUGUAUACGGCAAUGUAUCUGUCUAAAAAACAAACAAGUCGAGCUUAAUUAUCCUAUCCCCAUGAGGCCAUUACACUCAUUUUUUACUGUACCGCGUUCUCAAGAUUCUCAUCUAAAUACAGAUUAUACAGUGCUACAUGAAUGCAUUCGUUCAUUCAGUAUUUCAGUCCCUGUCUUUCUGUGAGGAAGUCUCCAUGUAUGCUGACAAAUUUGCUGCCCCAUUUAUCACCAGAAAGCAGAGUGCACCUGUCUCCUCAACCUCAUCCAGCCACUUAACUGUAUCAACAUUGUUAAAUCUACUUACAGCGCAUUCAUAUCAUCAUCAUGCCAUGCGGUGUAACCACGGCGAUUUUCGUCCGGUUUUCAGUUAAUUAACUGGGCAACCACUCUUCCUUGUCAACGCGAUGGAGCAAAACUUUUACCUCAUCCUGCGUGAUCAAAGCAAUUAUAUCCUGCUGUUACUCCUGAGCAAAUGUGUUAAUGCCUCUGAUACUCCUUGAUUGCCUGUUGUACGAAUGUGCUCCGCUUCAACGCGUGGAGUUCCAGGCGCCAGUUGCGGAGACGCGUCUCAUCUCAUCCGGUUGGUGCGGCUCCGUGCGUUCCCCGGUCGCUGUCCGCUUGCCACAUUUGCACACCACCCUUGAUCCUUUCUAACUAACCCAGCCUCGUCCUCCUUAGUCUAAUCCCUCUAACUUAAUCCGACCGUGACGUGCUCCACGUGGGGAGCCAGUCAGUGUGCAGGGACGGUCUCCGUCUGUCGCCAUGAUUAUAUCGCCGUCCUGGGUUCCUGGCUGACAUUGACCUCACUAAUCACGGGGGUUCGCCGGUUAACUGACGGGGUUUACUAAUCGGCGACGGGAUUAUCUUUUGUGUUCUCUCGGAACCAACGGCUCGCGGAUGGCUCCAACUUGCGCACCGGCCAGCGCUAGGAAAAUCGUUUCUGUCACACACAUCUUCUUACCUUAAGAUAACAUCUUCAGUCUCAUUGGUUGCAUCCACAGCGCAAUGCAAUGCAAUGCAGACGGUGUAACUCUCAAUCGAGCUUUAUAAGUACCACCCCCUCCGUCCCACAUCAAACUAGCUUGCAACAACGUGGACGGAGGGAGUACCUUUACAGUACGGGCACUCGAUGGUUUUUUGCUUGCUUUCGACCCUUUUGUAUUUGUAUCUAACAAUGAUAAUGAUACCACCUCGCAUUCCAUGGUGGGUGUAUCUAUGGUACCUCAGCAACUAAAUAUAAGACUGUUUUAUGGUUAAUUUAUUACUCCCUCCGGUCCAAAAUAUAAGUUGUACUAGUUUUUUUUUUAAGUCAAGCCUCUCUAACUUUGACCAAGUUUAUUAAGAAUUAUUAUCUGCAGAAAAAAAAAGUUUAUUGAGAAAUAUAUGAAUGUCUACAAUACAAAAUCAUCAUUACAUUCUUCAUGAAAUAUAUUUUCAUAUUUCAUUUAUUUAGUAUCAUAGUUGUUGACAUAUUUCGUUAUAAACUUGGUCAAACUUAGUAAUGUUCUUACCUAGUAGUUAGUAGUAGUAGAAACAUGCAUGGGGAACCUUCCCGGUAAUCUCAUAUAUUUCGCAACGGAAGGAGUACUAAUCAAUCAAGAUAUAUUUUCAAACCUUACCGAUAGUCUGACAUAUUUUGGACCGGAAGAAGUCUUCUUGAAAAACUAGCACACCUUAUAUUUUGAAACGGGGGGAGUACUAAUCAAUCAACAUUUUUACAAUAUUCUGAGCUAGUUAGUAGUAGUGCAAACAUGCAUGGAGAACCUUCCCGAUGAUCUCAUAUGCACUAUUAUGAAAACAUAGCAAUCGCAUGAGCCAUGGAGGACGUUUUUCCUUUAUGAUAUUCAUUAUUGAUGGAACAUUUUCUUUUCUCUUUUCUGGGAUUCUCCCUCACAUCUCCACCCCACGAAUUGCUAGACCUUUUUCUUUUGCGGGGACACAUAUUGAUGGAGUUGAGAACAUAUUCAGUACUUUUCUCUUUAUUUAUAGUGCUUCUAUGCUACGCAAGUACAAAUGCUGUAGACUUCCAAAAAUAAGUUGACAUGACAUGUCACACAGCGUCAAGUCCAAACUCGAUGUACCGAUCGAGGAAGCCAAAAGAACAAUGUUUCUCUCUUUACUUUACUUUAUUACUUUACCUAUUAAUGUGUGAUUGGUCGUUACUCGCUUAUUGUACACUACAAUGCUCUGUUGCAUCAAUCAAUUGCAGUUCUAUGCGGCUCCAUGGAGGUCUUCCUCCUCUUCACGACCUCACAUCAAUCUUUGUUGCUUGAUGUAUGUUUCGGUGUUAGUCGUCAGGGCUUCGGUCGGCGGACGGUAUGGCUUCGACAACAGUGGUGGCUACGACGAACAAGCGUGCUCCAAAUCCUCCCCUUUGAUGGGACGGCUUCCUUCCCCCCCUCAACAACGGCAGAUCUGGAAAGCUCGUGUGUGCAUACCUGGAUCGUGGAUCUCGGUGCACGUUUUUAGCCUCCAGGCAAGGUUGCCGAGGUUGCGGCGCGACUACAUUGGAAUGAAGCGAGCUUCGGUCCUCAGGGCAAGGGUGGCCAUCUUCCUCUACUCCACGAGGUGACAGAGACAACAAGGGCCAAAGGGUGCACCGUUAAACCCAUCAUCGCUUGAGGAUCCACGUCGUCGGUGCUUCUCGACAGAGUUUGAUGACUUAUCGGCUACUUGCAUUGAUGUUACUUUCCUGUUUCUGAUGCGUGAUAACAUGUGUGUCCGAGAGGAAGAAGGCGGAUGAUUUUUCAAGGAUGAUACUGUAUUUUUAUUUUCUCCCACGACGUACUUAUAAUGAGCAUUAUCUAAUUUGAGCACCAACCCUUCCGAAGAAAGAUAUGACAUUUUACUUUUUCUCCUCUCUUGUUCUCUCGCAUCCGCACCACACAAAUUGCUCGGGGGAGAAUAUAUUCAGCCUGUGUACGCAACGCAAGUGCAAACCGGGCACGCCUAAAAAGCGACGUAGGCUGCCAAAAAUACUCGGCAAGACCGAUACGCGGUUCUUUUGACACAUCACAAAAUGUAAGCCCAAACCGGAUGUACAUUCAGGCCGUCGAGGAAGCCAAGAGAACAAAAACGUAUGCUCCUCUUUGCGUCGCUAGCGUGCACUACAACGCUCUCCCGCGUCGUCGAUCCCGUCGCAGUCCAUGCAAGUAGCAGUAACAAAAUCGCCACGGCAUCUCCGUCAAAACCCAACACGAGGAGAACAUGCGUGACGGGAACGAGGAUCCCGCCGUGGAUGCCAAGUUGCCAAACCCUCACGAGCAAAACAUGGGCGAAUUGAGCCCGGGGUCUCGUCAAGAAGACCAAGAAAGAGGCAAGAAGACUAGGGUUAAUAAUUAAUCAAUCGGCGUGCACGACGAAGUUACCGCCGCGUUCCGUCGCCGCGCGCACGGCACUCGGCCACACCACGCGACGUCAACGGCCGGCCACCGCCCUCCCAGUCCCAGGCCGGGCCGUCCGUCCAUCCGUUCCCUGGAAGCCCUGAGAUCGGCGUCGUCACCGGCCGGACGCGGGCGGCGCAGGCUGGCCAUGCGUCCGUCCGGCAUAUCCGUCCCCGUCAAUGUCAUAGUCGCUUGUCUGCCGUGAAGAGCAUCAAUUAAUGGCCACCGUCGCGUUCCGCAUUUGUUUCCCACCUACAUGCGUCAAAUCCCCUCCCCCGUCUCAACACACACACCCCUUCAUAGGUGUCACCACACACCCUCUCCCCUCAUCCCCAUCGCCGGACCGCCUUCUGUCAUCUAUUCCCCAUCCCCGUCGCCUGCACAAUCACCCCAAUCGAUCAUGUCGGUGCGGCCGCACCCUCCAUGCAAACCUUUUGUUGCCAAGACCGAAGAGGACCACACCAAGAGAGAAUUAAUGGAAGAGCGCGUGGGAAUUCUUGGAGGUUGAAUCAGCCGUCAGCCGCUCUCAAGUACUUCCACCGCAUCUCGAUGGUCGCCCCCACGGAAAUGGAAGCCGUGCUCACACCGGUCUUCAAGGAUGUGGCCUUGCCCCGCAUCCGAGACACACCUGCAUUCACUGAAUGCAUGGCCAUAGAAAGUCGGCGCAGCUGAAGCCUUCCCCCGCCUACGAGGUUACUUCCAAGAGAAAGAAGAGCCCAUAGUUCAAGGAAUCAACGUGAGUCUCUUUAAGGUUGUUCAUCUCCUGGUUGUUUCUUUGAAUCCAUUUUGUAAAUCCUAGGGUAAACCAGUGAUGAAAUUUGGUACCAAAAACCUUCCAUGCCGAGGAAUGAAAUUGAACUGAUGUCCGAAUCACAAGUGGGACGCACAUGAAGGAACAGAAAAUGAAGGCCACGUUACGAUAAAUAUGUAUUCGCGCACAACCACCGCAGCUUCCAUAUCCCCUAUGGCGGCCGGCGGUAAGGCGGACCUGCUAUAGAUGCCCUUAGUUGUUAGGGUUUUGUCGGUGGACACUGUGGCUUUGGCAACAGUGGUGACUACAACGAAUGUGUGUNNNNNNNNNNNNNNNNNNNNNNNNNNNNNNNNNNNNNNNNNNNNNNNNNNNNNNNNNNNNNNNNNNNNNNNNNNNNNNNNNNNNNNNNNNNNNNNNNNNNNNNNNNNNNNNNNNNNNNNNNNNNNNNNNNNNNNNNNNNNNNNNNNNNNNNNNNNNNNNNNNNNNNNNNNNNNNNNNNNNNNNNNNNNNNNNNNNNNNNNNNNNNNNNNNNNNNNNNNNNNNNNNNNNNNNNNNNNNNNNNNNNNNNNNNNNNNNNNNNUCAAGGGUGACCGUGUUCCUCUAGUCCAUGGGUUGACAGAGACAAGGGCUAAAGGGCUCACCGUUGAACCUAUCACCGCCUUCUCCUCUAUGUCACGGACCCUUCCAGAUCCAUUCCGUUGGCGAUUCUUGACGGAGUUUGGUGUCUUUCGUGGAAUAUUACCGCCAUGUUUCGAUGGUGCCAUUUUCCGGCGUGCCGACAACAUGCGCGAGAGGAAGAAUGUGGAUGAUUUUCAGUUAUCAUAAUGAUUUUUUGUUUUUUCAGAAGACUUUUUCAUAAUGCUUCGCUGUCUAGCUUGAGCCCUAAUUCUUUGGGAGAAAGAUAGGACAUUUUCUCUCGCAUCCGCACCGCACAAUUUGCUAGGGGGGAGAAUAUAUUCAGCCUGUACGCAACGCGAGUGCAAAUCGUAGACGCCUAAUUAAAAAGCGACGCAGGCUGCCAAAAACAAGCUCGGCAAGAUCAGUACGCGGUUCUUUAGCAUAUCACAUCACAAAAUGUCAAGUCCAAACCCAAUGUACAUCCAGAUCAUCGAGGAAGGCAAGAGAACAACGUACACGCCGGCCGAUCGUACUACGACGAGCGAGUAGCGUACACCACAAUGCUCUCUCGCGUCGAUGAAUCGAUCCCGUCGCAAUCCAUGCAAAUAUGCAGUAAUAAACUCGCCACGAUUUGCUCCAAAAAAAAGGAAAAGAGAGAAAAAAACUCGCCACGAUUUGCUCCAAAAAAAGGAAAAGAGAGAAAAAAACUCGCCACGAUUUGCUCCAAAAAAAGGAAAAGAGAGAAAAAAACUCGCCACGGCAUCUCCGUCAAAAAAACCCAGCACGAGGAGAACAUGCGUGGUGGGAACGAGGUCCAGACCUCUCACGAGCAAAACAUGGGCGAAUUGAUCCCUGGAUCUCGUCGGAGAAGAAGACUUGAUUAAUCGAUCGGCGUGCACGACGAAGUUACCGCCGCGUUGCGUCGCCGUGCGAUGCGCCGCGGCCGGACCCGGCCACGCCACGCGACGUCAACGGCCGGCCACCGCCCCUCCCAUCCCAGGCCGGGCCGUCCGUCCGUUCCCGGAAGCCCCCCGGAUCAUCACGUCGUCGCCGGCCGGACGCGGCCGGUGCAGGCUGGCCGUGCGCCCCUCCGUACAGUGCAUCUGGCCGUGGGAUGGACCGAGAUUUUUCCGUUGGAUGUAGGGUGGCGCGGUGAGCGCAGAACGUGUCGGGCGGUACCUAACCUGGCGGGCCCACCACGAGACGCCCUUCUAUCCGGUAGGAAGGAAAGAAAGAAAGAUGCUCCUGCCCCACCGCCGCAGCAGCAGCUGCGCCCUAGCUACGUGCCGCUUAAUUUUUCUUUAAUUAAUGCCCUAUCUUUAUUAGCCAAAUGAAAUGAUCCGCCCCUUUAAUUAUCACCAUCCACACCAUUUUAGCCUGCUAACAAUACACUUCCUCCCUCCCAAAAUUCUUGUCUUAGAUUUGUACAUACUACUAGUAUAUGGUAACUAACCUUAUUAAACAAAAAGAUAUAUGCUAACUACUUUCUCUGUUCGGAAUUACUUGUCUCGAAAAUGAAUGUAUCUAGAACUAGAAUACGUCUAGAUACAUCCAUUUCUGCGACAAGUAAUUUCGAACGGAUGAAGUAUGCAUUUGGACCAAUUAUCCGGAUAACCUUUUUUUUCCGGCAAGAAGAGGGGGACACGCAUCGCGCAAAAGCAGCUCAAUGCUUCUUGUGCUAACAAGGCACGCUGACCACGCUUUUAGACGCGAAACCGCGUGUUUGUGUUUGUGUUUGUGAUGCUAACAACAACAACAACCGUUCGGGUCACGUGGUGGAAAGGCGUUGAUUUCUUCAUGCUGGGGCGAAACGAAAAGGCCGGUCGGGAGCCGGUAAAAAGGCCGUGUCGGAGUGACAUGAGUGCUGCUGCCGUGGUGGUCGUCGUGCUGCUGGUGGUGGGCACCGGAACGAAAAAGGAUUCCGCCCGACUGGCCCUUUUUUAUUUAUUCUGCAUAUUAGAGUUGAUUGAAGUCAAACUUCGUAAAGUUUGACCAAGUUUAUAGAAAACAAUAUAAACAUUUAUUAUAAUAAAUCUAUACGAUGUGAAAGUACAUUUAAUAAUAAAUCUAAUGUUGUUGAUUUGUUAUUGUAUAUCUUAAUAUUUUUGUAUAUGAACUUGGUCAAAGUUUGUAAAGCUUGACUUUGACCGAAGCUAAUAUGCGAACUAAAUAAAAACGUAGGGAGUACUAGCAUCAAGCAAAACACUUUGACUUAUCCGGACAAAAUCACCGGCCUAAUACCUAGAGAUAACUAAACCCAUUCAAUUCAAUUCAAACAAAAACAGUAUAUUACCUAGAAAUAAAAGGAUUUUAUUUGCUCCCAAAAAGAAUGAUUUUUUCUGCAGUCAGUGGCUAGCAACGGAAGGAAACCAGAAACGGGCUGUGUCUGGCUGGCUGGCCGUUGGUUAGUACUCCUUCCGUCCGAAAAUACUUGUCAUCAAAAUGGAUAAAAGAAGAUGUAUCUAGACAUAUUUUAGUUCUACAUACAUUUUUUUAUCCAUUUUGACGAUAGGUAUUUUCGGACGGAGGGAGUAGUACGUACUACUACUUACCAGUGACCGCAAUCAGUCGGUGAGUUUUGUGCGUGUAACCGGUCCGCCCCUCUAUUUACUAAUCAUCCACCCAUCCAUCCCCCAUCCCACGCCUCCACCUUUCCCCCACACCCUCCCUCGCUGGUCGCCGUCUUCGCCUUCGCCUUGCUCUCUCCCCCACCCCCACCCCCCUACCCUCCGUCCGCCGCCCCGCCCCUCCUUCCACCGCCGGCCGGAGGAACCUAGGCUGCUUGCUGCCUCGUCCGGAGGAGCCCUUUUUGCGCCCGGAUCUCCUCGCUCCCCGCGCGCAACCCAACCCGCCGGCCCGCUCGCUUCGAUUUGUUUCGUUUAUUCGAUUCUUGCUUCCCGUUCUGUACAUAUCUGCUCGGUCGGCGCCCGGAUUUCUCGGCGGCGUGUCUGGAUCUGGGCUGUCGGACGAAAUCCCGGCUCGAUUCGCUCCCGGGCGCCGCCGCGGCGGGUUUGGAUCUCGCGGGGUUACGAGAGGGGGGAGAGAAAGUCGUUGAUUCGUCGGGAGGCAGGCAGCGGUAACCGGAGAUGGAUCACAUCGUCGGCGGCAAGUUCAAGCUCGGCAAGAAGAUCGGGAGCGGAUCCUUCGGGGAGCUCUUCCUCGGUCAGCUCGCCGCCCCUCUCCAAUAUUCCUCUUCUUUUAUCCUCCUUGCUUCUGCUUCUGGGAUGUGAAGCAAGGUGCUGACUUUGCCGCUCGUCUUGCUUGCAGCUGUGAAUGUGCAGACCGGAGAGGAGGUCGCCGUCAAACUGGUACUGGGUUCCGUCCUACUAUGUCCUAAGAGUUUUGGUUAAGUUGAUUCAGGUUGAGAAGAGUCAUAUUGUUUGCUGCUUGUGCUAAAAGAUGAUCAUAAGAUGCACGCUCUAGUGAAAUGCUUGUGUUGCUGUACCUAUUCAGUUUAGCUAGUGGAAAAUAUUUUAGCCGCUGGGGUUGCUGAGACGCUGCUUUGUGGUCCUUCUUCAGGAAAAUGUCAAGACCAAGCACCCGCAGCUCCAUUACGAGUCCAAGCUCUACAUGCUUCUCCAAGGAGGAAGUAAGUCUAUGGUCAUUGACCUUUCUUUGAUCAUGUCUAUCAAUGUAGUUGGAUUGGUUGGUGGUGGCGAAAUUGAGCUGAGAUGUUUAUUUGUUCUCGCUUAACUUAAAAGCUGGCAUUCCGCACCUCAAGUGGUUUGGUGUGGAGGGAGAGUAUAAUGUGAUGGUGAUUGAUCUUCUCGGACCCAGCCUCGAGGACCUCUUCAACUACUGCAGUAGAAAGUUCUCGCUCAAGACCGUGCUCAUGCUCGCUGAUCAGAUGGUGAGAACACCUCCGGUUCAUUGUUAUAUCCCAGUUUUCAGUUUUAUACAGAUUUCUGGUGUUAACCGCAUUCCCUUUCGCCAAACAUUCCAGAUUAAUCGAGUUGAGUACAUGCAUCAAAAGGGAUUUCUUCAUCGUGACAUAAAACCUGAUAAUUUCCUUAUGGGCCUCGGAAGGAAAGCCAAUCAGGUUUGCACUUAUAUAUCCGCACUCUGCUAAUUUAAUUAGACUCUUGUACUCCAGAUACUCCAGACUACCAUCUUGUUUAAAAGCAAAAUAUUGUUUAUGCAUUCUGCCAGUUAACCACAUAGCUUAUUGUGUAGUGUGUUGAUGUUAUUAAUUGUGGAGUGUUGGGUUUGUGGUUUGCAUUCUUGAAGAAGGUCCAACAAUGAUGCUGUAGUAGAGAAACAUGGUUUGAAUGCUAAAUUACUGCCCCAGUAGUCCAAUAUCUGAUGAAGUGGUUAAUUGCUAUCAUUGGUCGUGUUAACAUGCUUGUAAUGAUGUUGCUGCUUCUGAGGUAACAAGGACAUGGUUAAUGACCAAGAGUGGAUGACAUAGAUGGUCCAUUGAUACAGGCUGUCAGAUUGUUACUUACAGAGAAUGUCCAUUGGUAUAGGCAAUCGGUUAUGCAACUAACUAAGGCCAUAAGCUAGCAAGGUUUUUUGAUAAAGCUCAUGUUUUAUCUCUGAAUCCAACUAAUUUUGUAUAUUGUUGACAUUCAUGCCAGGUAUAUAUAAUAGAUUAUGGACUUGCAAAGAAAUUCAGAGACCUUCAGACUCAUAAGCACAUCCCCUACAGGUUAGCUUAAACUACUUGUACUGCUGCAAAAUAUAAAUGAUGUUACAGGGGCAUUGUCAACAACUAAAUGUACUUUCCUUGUAUUGAUUAUGAUGCCAUGUUCACUUCAAUGUGCAGGGAGAACAAGAAUCUCACUGGAACUGCACGCUAUGCUAGUGUCAAUACUCACCUUGGCGUUGGUGAGUUUGCUGUGCUUUCUGAAUGAUGAAAUGAGUAGCUAAUUUAAGUUUUGUCUAACAUAAGUCCCUUCUGAUGCAGAGCAAAGCAGGAGAGAUGAUUUAGAAUCACUUGGUUAUGUACUUAUGUACUUCCUCAGAGGCAGGUUAGUGUGUCAUAUCUAUCAUUCCAUACAUGUUGUUUUCUUCCAACGUUUUGCACCAAUGAUAUCUUUACGUUUCUCUAAAUAAUGCUAACUUCAUCCAUCUUUCUACAUUCAACAGUCUGCCAUGGCAGGGGCUGAAAGCGGGCACUAAGAAGCAGAAAUAUGACAAAAUUAGUGAGAAGAAGAUGCUUACUCCAGUGGAGGUAAUUCAUGUUUGGGAACUUAAUGCAUCCCUUUUUUUAGUAACCUCAGUAAACUGACACUUGCAUAUUAUGAUUUGUGCCAGGUACUCUGCAAGUCUUACCCUUCAGAAUUCAUUUCUUACUUCCACUACUGUCGAUCAUUGCGGUUUGAAGACAAGCCAGAUUAUUCUUACCUAAAGAGACUAUUCCGUGAUCUCUUCAUCCGGGAAGGUGUGUGUAUUUGGACUAACUUUACCUUGUUCUCAUGAAUUUCUGCCUGUACCCAUUUCUAACUGCAUUAUUUCUGCAGGAUACCAAUUCGAUUAUGUGUUUGACUGGACCAUUUUGAAAUAUCCCCAGAUAGGCUCGAAUCCAAGGAUGAGGGUAUGUAGUCUUUGGUUGUAAUAAUUGGGUACACUGUCCUGUCAUGAAGAUUGUUAACUUUGUUCACAAUUCUUGGUUCAGCCAAGUGAAAGAGUCAGUGGAGCUGCUGGACCUUCUAUCGAGAAGAUAGAGAAGGCCCCAGGUUUGUUCUUGUGCUCAUGAAAGUUGUUGUAAUGAAACUAUGAUACAAACCAUGCAAUCAUGACAGCCUAGAAGCAUCUUGUGUCACAGGCGAAGCAUCUGCUCGGAGGAAUCCCAGUGCUUCUCUGAAUCAGAGUGACAACCACGCAACCCGACCACGGGAAACUGUAUCGAUGUCAUUAAAGGAGAUUGUAAGUCCAACUCCCUGUUCCAGAAUAGAAGAGAUAUAAACUUUGCUUCGCCGCAUGUAGUGGACCUUCUAUGUGUGCCAUGAACUUGACAACCAUGAAUGUCUCAUUUCUGCAGAUGCAUAGCACAGACCGGUCCGGCGAAAGGACUGUGGAGAGGACCACGGAGAGACCCCGUACAUCCUCUCGUACAGGCAGUGCGUCCAGGAGAGCAGUUGCAUCAAGCAGCAGGCCAGGCUCAUCCAUGCAACCGAGCGAGCAGCAGUACAGCCGAACGAGCAGGUUGUUCUCCAGCAGCAAUAACGGCGGCAGCCGCCCGUCCAGCACCCAGAGAGUCAAUCCUGGAGUGAGCGAGUCGAGGGCCACAUCCCUCUCACGGGCAGCGGUCGCAAGAGGGUCGCGCGACGAGCCCCUCCACCGCAGCCUCGAGCUCCUGUCCCUCGGCACCGGCAAGAGGAAAUAACAGGAAGGGGGGCAAGGGAACCCGAACCCGAGAACGAACGAUGGAACAAGGAAACGACGCUGUUUGCGACUCUGUAAAUGACAGGAUACCACCACCCUAUUCGUCAACAGUCCGCCUGGAGCAUCCCAUAAUUCCAUGGUGCUCCAGCCUGUUGGUAGUAUCACCACCACCAUCAUUGUUUGAUAGAUAGCAAUAAUUUGCUGCUGCUGCUGCUGCUGUUGGUUGUUGUUGUCGUCUUCGUCGUCGGCGUGUGCGCGUUAGGGCCAAGUCCUAGCUUCGUGGUGAUUAAUUUAGAGGUGGUCAAGAUUCAACAUAUUUAUGUUUCUUUAUUACCUUCCCGCUGGGACUUGGCAAACUUUUUUCUGAGACUUUGUUGUAUUUUCUCUUCCCGUUUGUUGCUACCUCUGGAUCUGCUUGUUCAGCAACAGAAAGUUGAUGAAAGUAACUUCCAGUAUGAAAAUUCCAGUCUCCUUGAUUAUAGAUAUUCUUGCAUUGCAGCAUCGUGACGUAUAUGGAUUGUGAUUGUAUAAGAUUUUUAAAAAACUCUGAUUGUACAAGAAAUGGCCAUUUUUGGAAGAGAAAU